rnacentral:lncRNA from 1 species
AUUGUUCGCACUCCAUCCGGGAAGUUACGACUUUACUGCAAAGGAGCUGUAAGUUUUUAUUUUUGUCUUUAACAGUUUUGAUUUAUGACGGUUUAUAAUGUAUACGUUCAGCAUUCUGCUAUGGAAAUGUAACACAGAUGUUUAGCAUAAAGUUGCUGACAUCCACUUUCCUUGGUGUUUUAUAGUAAUAGUGUUCAGCCUCUUCUGGUGAAAUGCGGAAUUCCUUCUGGGUAAAUUUGGUGCUUUGAAAAAAUUUGGCCUAGGUUAUGUAUAUAAUUCAAUUUUUGAUACAUAAUAUUUGAGGUUUAUAUUAUAAAAUACGUUAGAAGACAAUUAAAGUAGAAAAUGCUUUGAAAUUGUAUUAGAAAUGUAAUGAUCCACACCAGUUUGAAUCUAAUUUUUUUAAAGACCAUAGAAACAUGGGGAAAAAUUGGAUCACAGUGACUGCUGUAAUUUUCAUCAUAUGGUCAUUACUAUUUGUUUUGCAUUGUUCUAAUUAUAACAGAAUUUCUGACUAUUGGUUGGCUUUUGUAUAUUGGCAGGUUAUAUUGACAAAAAUAGUAAUUUGUCAUUCGAAGUGAAUUUUCCUAGUUAAAAUAUGUUUAUACUCAUAGAAAUCUAAAUAAGGGGUCUACGGACCAGAGCCACUUUUUGUUCCUAAAAUUAGCAUUUUUCUUCUGAAUUAUCCUUUCUGGACACCUAAUCUACUUGGACUAGUCAGAUAACUUACCAACUUAGAACUUUCCAAUUUUAAAUAUAAUUGCAACCUUGAUUUAUUGAAUGAAACCUGGAAACUGAACUUAUUAGGAAGCCAAAGCUUAUUACUUAAAUUUUUGUUGAAAAUGUUUUUCAAUGCCUUGGUUUUAAAGCAUUGAAAUGCAAUUUUGAAUGCCGUGUUUUUAAAGCAUUUUGGUAGAAUUAUUUCGUGACGUCUCAUAAAUUUAGGUUUAGAAUUCCUCCGGUUGUUGACUGAAACAAGUAACAUUUAUUCAUUGUGUGCACUUUAUCUACCAGCCUUUCAGCUGGAUUUUGGAAAAAGGAAGAUAAGACCCAAUACUUGUCAGGAGCUGAGCCUAGUCAGGAAAAUAUAUAUAAAGAGAAGACUAGUAUACAAUAUUGAGGUAUACUUUAAAGUUCUCCCACAUUCCAAGGGUAGUAUUUAGUGAUAAGGGAAUGAUUGAUAUGUGUUCAGUUUACACUCAACUUACAUCCUUCCAUUCUUAGUUUUGAGUAAUCAUCCAUCUAGAACCUUUGGGGAGUUAAAGCACUGAAUAAACUAUAAAAACACUGGAUUUCCUUUUUGUAUAAUCAUGGAGAGUUUGUAUACAUUAACUUGCUUAUUGCAUUGUUUCCCCUCACUCCCAACCAAGUUGGCUGUGAAAUGCCGCCGAAUGCUAAAAAGGCAGAAAUAUGUAAAACAGCAAGGUACACUUGAGAACUGCACACAGUUUGGCAGGGAAUAGCAGAAUUCAAGGCUGGCAAGGUGAGCAUGCAUUAGGUCAUGCAUUAUUUUCAUGCUCACGAACUUGUAUUUUUUUCUGAAUUAUUCUGGUGCCAUUUAGGAAGAUGGCUUAAGGCAGAAAAGAGAUGCAUACAGAGUUACCAGUUGAUGCUAUUGUCCCAAGAGUUGAUGAGGAUCUGAACCAAGACAGUUACAGAGAGGAUUGAGAGGGUGGAGAUUUAGGACUUAGUAACUGAUUACAUGUGGGUGAUGAGGGAAACCAUGAUCUAGGAUUGUUAUCCAAUUUCAACUUAACUGGGUAGACGAAGUGGUACCACGUCCCAUGAUAGAGGGUUGGGAACUACAUCUGGGCCAUGAGGCAGAGAUGUUUGGAUUAUACAUGGGAAGGAAUCUAGGGUGCUGAUACAGAUUUAGGAGUUAACAAGUAUAGCUGGAAACUAAAAGCAGAGGAUUGAUGAGAUCUUGUAAGGAGAUAUUACAUGAAAAGAAGAGGCUAAAAGUGAAGAGUUAGAGGAUCUAAAAAGAGAGAUUUAAUCAGGAUUGGGGAGCAGUGGUUGGAGUUUGGUUUCUGUGAGACAAUGGGGGCAAAUAGUGCUUUCUGUAAAAUGUGGAUGGGAGCCUCUUUGAUGCAUGAGACAGUGAUGAGGUUCCUAAUUAUGAGAAGAGACUAAGAAAAGCUCAUACCAACUCUGCUGGGGGGGGGUAUAUAAAACCAUCAGAUUGGGGUACACACAAACAGGGAGAGAGUGAGAGCAAAACUUAGGGACACAUGAGGUAAGUCUAAUGCCGAAGAGAGAACAAGCAUGUCAAUCAACCACUGGACACGAAUUCACUCCAGGUGAAAUCAUUUGUACAGACAGGUCUGACCAAGGAUGCUUAGAGCUCAACAUGAUUUAAAAAACAACAACAACUAUUUUUAAUCAAAAAGAAAUUGGGUGGGGCGCCUGGGUGGCUUGGUCGGUUAAGCGUCCGACUUCGGCUCAGGUCAUGAUCUCACGGUCUGUGAGUUCGAGCCCCGCAUCAGGCUCUGGGCUGACAGCUCAGAGCCUGGAGCCUGCUUCCGAUUCUGUGUCUCCCUCUCUCUCUGACCCUCCCCCGUUCAUGCUCUGUCUCUCUCUGUCUCAAAAAUAAAAUAAAAACGUUAAAAAAAAUUAAAAAAAAAAAAAAAAGAAAUUGGGGUUGAGGGGUGGGGGUACGUGUAAGCUAAAUUGGAAGUCCUAAACAAUCAAGAGAAAACAUCACUAAAUGGAAUAAACUCUAAACAGAGUGGAAGGGGCAGGGGCGGAGUCAGUGAAUUGGAAGACAGCACUGAAGAGUUCAUCUAGAAUACAGCACAGAGAGAUGGUGGUUCUCUGUGUGUGUGGAUAUGGAUGGUUUAUUUUUUUAUUCUUUUCCAGGUUUUCUGCAAUGAAGUUGCCUUGCUUUUUUAAUUUUAAAUGAAAAAAAGGAAAAGUAUACAAUAUACAGUUUAUGUCUGCAAUAGUAGCCUAUUUUUAAAAAGUUAUAUCGACACGAAUAAAAUCUUAAUUUAUUCAAGAAAAUAAAAAUGCUAUUCCAGUAGGGGGCGCCUAUAGGGGUGCCUGGGUGGCUCAGUCUGUGAAGCGUCUGACUUUGACUCAGGUCAUGAUCUCUCGGUUUGUGAGUUCAAGCCCUGUGUGGGGCUCUGUGCUGACAGUUCAGAGCCUGGAGCCUGCUUCAGAUUCUGUGUCUCCCCAUCUCUUGGCCCCUCCCAUGCUCAUGCUCUGUCUCUCUCUUUCUUUCAAUAAUCAAUAAACGUUAAAAAAAAAUUUUUUUAAUACUAAUAAUUAAAAAAAUAAAAGAUGAACAGGAAAACAACUUUUCAAGUGAAAAUCGACCUAAGAUGAGUUAUUCAUCUUGAAGCUGUAGACUCUUCACAUAAACACCUGGAAUCUGUGCCGUGCACUCCAGGAACAUCCCCUCUUGCACUGUUUUCUGAUCUUACCUUGCUGAGGGGCUAGGACACCAGAUAAGUAAAUCCAGUUAGGAUUUUUCUAUAAAUGUAGACUCAGUAGGUUCUAAUCCGAUCCUAAGGGUGCACACGCUUUCGUUCUGUGAAGAAACCUUUUUGGUCCUAACCACGUACCAUAUACUUGAUGUAGCUCUCUGAAUUAAUGAGCAUUACUCUGGGUAAAAAGUUGAUCUUCAUGUAUUUCUGACAGGUAAGCAUGGCCAGUUGUGACUGUCGUUUAAAAACAUACCAUAUAAUUCAUGUAUAUUCUGUCUCUUGCGUUCCUUGAUACCAUAAAAAGAUAGAAAAUUCUAUUUUGGACAUCAGUGUCUUCCGCUAGAAAAUUUGGCUACGUUGCAGAAUUUAAUCUUCCUUAUCACUUUGGUUUUCGUGACUUUAAUUUUUUAAAAGAUUUUCUUAGUUUCAAAGCAGCCUAUUUAAUUUCUUUGAAAAAGUCAUUAGCCUCUGGAAAAAAAUAGAUUUCACAAGUUAUACCUUUCAUUCCUAGAAAGGAACCAUGAGGGGAAAUUACCAUUUCCUUUUGCUUUGCCCCCCCCCUUCCUAUUCCACCACUAAAGAAUGAAAAGAAAUUCAUAAUUGGGGCCUGGAAUAUUCCAUCUGUCCUGAGGUCACUAAGUUCUUGUUUCUCUCAAGGGUUCUAAAUCAUACUCCAUUAGCCUCCUUCCAAAUCUCAGCCCUGAGACUGGAGACCCCAAAAUGGGUAAUACCACUGAGAAAGUAAUUGCAGGUAAAUGAUUUAUUUUUUCCUAGUCUAAUAAAACCAUGAAGGCCAAACACUAAAAUUCUUAAAACAUUAAAUCCAAGCUGAGGAAUAACUAAAGGAACAAUAAGCAAUUUAUAAAGGGGCAAAAAUCAGAGAACUGUAAGUGGUGCACAACAUUCACGCCGAAAGGCACUUUAAAGAUAAUCCAGUAAUUGCAUUUUACAGACUAAGUUAAUUGAGCUUUCAGAAGAUAAAGUGACACAAUCAGAAAUAUUCAGCUAUCAGGCAAUGCUAGAUUUGUUCAGAAUUCUCCUUAUCAUACCCACCAACCCUCUCAGUGGAUUUGGCCUUGUGUUUCUCAAAGUUUGUUCUCUGUGAGCACCAACCCCAUAGAGAUGCCCUAAUCCCUAGCCCGGGCUCCAUAGUGAAUGAGUCUGGGGAACAUACCACAUGGCCCCCUUAGACAUCUGUUCACAUUAGCAUUUUAAGGGCUCUAAGUAUUCCUACAGGGCAAGCUUCGUUCAGCCCAGCACUUCCCAAACUUUUUGAGUACUGGACCAUUUUUCCCUGUGGCACCCAGGAACACUGCAGCAUCCUGCCCUACCUUCAGGGUUGGGGAAGAUCUUGCAAGAUAAGUGAGGUACUGCUAGAAUAUGAAAUGUUGAUCACUGGAGUAACUACGGAUGUAUUCAGAAAGGAGAAAGAUGAAAAUAUAUGACUCAAACCUUAUUUCUUAGUGUCACUAGGGAAACAGUGUUAUUAGGCAAAAAAUAUUUUGUGCUUUAAAAUUAAUGCUCAAAGUGAUUGCUUGUUUUUAUACUGAUUUGCUGCUAAUAAUGCUGCCAACAUUAAUGUUCAUUAAGCUCAAGAUGCUUACUUUAAUUGCAUUCUACCUUCUGUUUGUUUUCGAGGACACUGUAAUUUAUGAUCGACUGGCAGAGACUUCAAAAUACAAAGAAAUUACCCUAAAACAUUUAGAGCAGUUUGCUACAGAAGGUGAGUAUAAUACAGCAAUACAGCAUGAUUAAAAUAAAAAGAAAUCAAAUACUUCUGGUGUCUUGCAAGAUUGUUGUUUCUUGACUUAGAAAUUCCUAAAGUAAGAGAACAAUUAAUGUUGAUAAUUUAGAUUAUACUAUAUGCUGUUCCUAUUAUUUUUGCUUGCUUUUCUGUAUUAAAAUUUUGAGAGACUUAGCCCCCAAGUUUUAGGGGUAUAGGGCCUAUAAAUCUGUUCACUUUUUAGAAUGGGUACUAUUCACAUUAUAAAUAUGUUGUAUCUCUAGCAGUGUAGAAGGAAGAGAAACAAACAAAACAACUGGCUAUGCUAGUCUGAAUAAGAAAGAGGAGAAAAAUAAGCCUAUAUGGCUAUAAGAACAGUUAUUCAGUAUAGUUUUAACUCAAGACUUCUUAGGCCCCUACCACAUGACAGGCUCUGUGUGAGGCUUGGGAUCUAAACAUGUUGAGUCCUGUCUCUGUGUCCUCCUGAAACAUAUGAUCUGUAUAGCAGAGCAGUGCAUAGUCUAGGGGAAUGAUCUAGAUUAGAUGGGAGGACUCGAGAGUCCUUAAACAGUAGGGUCUGUUACUACAAGAAUUUGUAGAGCCUUAUCUCUGAACUUAACAGAAGUAGUCAGAGCUGUAUCUAAAUCUCCCAUCUAAGGUUUCACUCUUGUCUGCUUCAGCUACAACGGUCACCAAAUGCAGCAAGCCUGACCUCUGAUCAAAUCCUUUUUCCUCUUAAUCCAAAAGCUGCAAAAAGAUAGGAACGUUUUAAAAAGCACGAGGUUUUGAAAAGCAAGGGCAUAAAGAACCUUCUCCCAGCUCUCCAAAAAUGCAAGAGCAUGGAGACACUCCUGUUCAUAGAGUUCAGAUUCCUCAAGGCGCAUCCUCAGCUGGGCUCGGCGGGUACAACCUAGCCAGCAUCCUGCCCAGGUUCUUUUUCUGGAGGAGGGUUGAGGGAACAUCUCUCUCUUCUCUGGUUAUGAUACGAGGAUAGUCCAGCUCCUAGACAAAUUUAAGUUUUCUUGGUCUUCACCUCCACCCUAUUCUUUCUGGCCCUGGGCUGAACAUCGCUUUUACUCCAUGGCUACCCCAGAGUAAGUCUUCAGCCAAAUUUCCAAAAGAGAAAAACAUGUCCUAAUAUGGCCCCAAAGAUUUAGCUUCUACUCUCCGUGAGCUGGCAAUGGACAACCCUACUCCUUUCUUGGAAGAUAGAGUCCUCUGGGCACUUUAUGUUCUCUGCUUCUUAUUUCUGACAUGUUCCCUGGUCAUAUUUUAUUUGGCUUGCGGUCACUAGCACCUCGUUAUUCUAUGAGUUAAUGACUUUGAGUGAGGGUGUUGUCUUCUCAGGAACCCAAUUAACUGCAUUUGUCCUGGCUGACAAAUGCUUUUGCUUCUUCCUUGUUCCAAUCCACCGUUUUUUGUUUUUUGUUUGGCUGAAGGUGGUUUCCAAGUGAGUUAUGAAAUUGAUAGACACUGAUCACGAGGAGUAGGUCAUCUCAAACAUCAGAUUCGGUUGUUUUCCUAGGGUGUUUCUGAUGAGUACUUUUGUUUUGUCACUAUCCCUCAGGUCUUUUAGACUCUUUAUACUACACUUUUAUGGUGAUAAAGAACAAUAAUAAAUACAAGUAUAUAUCCCUGUAUGAGGCACAUGGCUUUCCUAGGAGACCCCAUUGGGGUCCCUCUUUUUCCUCAUAAGCAUCUAUGAAGCAUCUACAAGCCAGCUACUGUGCCCAGUACUAGAGUUAGAGGUAUGAAGAACUCAGGGCCCCUUCCCUCCAGGAUCUGGACACUAAUACAGGAAAUCCACAAGAAAAACAGUAUGAAACAUUGUCAUUCACACCAUAGGUGUGUUUGGGGAUUUCUGCCUGUGGGGUCUGAGUGAGAGGAGAAUGCUUCCGAGAGAUGACAUUACGAACUGAGUCUUAAGGCAGAUGCAAGGCAGACAGUUGAGGGAGUUGGAGGGGGUGAAAGGGGGAAAAAGUGACCAGCGUGUGCAGAGACCCUGGUGUGUAGGAGGUAAAUGGCAGAGAAGGAGGUUGAAGACAAUUGGUACAGGGUAAGUGAGCCGGAUUUGGGGGUUUGGACUUUAUCCCGGGGAAUAAUUGAAAGAUCUCAAAAAAGGAAUAAUCUGAUAAGAUUUGGAUGUUGGAAAAGUCACUUUGGGAAAGGCACAAAGGAUGUAUCGAAAGAGCUAGGGAUCAGAAGCAGGGUGCCGGUUUAAGGUGAGGGGAGCACAAAUACCCAUUUUACACUAAAGUGGUGUCACAACUGAAUCAGACUUCAACAUAUUGUUUGAAUUGAGCCAGUCUUUUCAAAAUAAGACUUAUUUAUAUAAAAAUGGAAGGGUCCUACUUCUGAAUAAAAUCUUAUUUGGUGUUGGGGGGAUAUAUGCUGCCUUUUUUCAGGAUUACGAACUUUAUGUUUUGCCGUGGCUGAGAUCUCAGAGAGCGACUUUCAGGAGUGGCGAGCCGUCUAUCAGCGUGCAUCCACAUCCGUGCAGAACAGACUGCUCAAACUCGAAGAGAGUUAUGAGUUAAUUGAAAAGGUAUGUGAAAGACCAUUUUGCUCAUACAGAAAAUUUGGUUUCCAGAAAACUUCAGUCUUUUCAGGAGCCAAUAAAUAAAGAUCAGAACAUUUUGACACACCAUUCACUGUUGAAUUUCCUUGGGUCGAAGCAUCAACAGAUAUUAAUUAUGGUUAAAACUUUUGCCGAAAAGUCUCUGGAAUUACUUUGUGUAGACCUUCUUUUUUUUAUAUAAUUUUGGAUUGGAGUUAGGCUAAUUUCUUGCCAAUGUACACUAUUGCUUCCGCAUCAUUGAAGAUAAGCAUGCCCUCCUCCACACACACGUGCACACAAGUUACAUACACUACAUGUGUGUGUGUAUAUAUAUGUAUAUGUGUGUGUAUAUAUAUGUAUAUAUGUAUACAUACAUAUAUAUGUGUAUGUGGAAAUACGUUUGGAAAUAACUUUUCUCCUGCCUCAUUUUGUACACAGCCUGAAUAUGUAUAUAUGUAUAUAAAUGAAGAUUUAUAAUAUGUAAUACAAAAUAAUGUAAAAAUAUAGCUUGUGUGGCUCUAUACCUAAUAAUGAAGAAGACAUAAGUGAACAAUUCAGUGCUUAUACCUGGCUAUUCAUUGUGUAUAUGCACACACACACACACACACACACACACACGUAUGCAUACAUAUACAAACAUCCAUCAUUUGUGUCACAACCAAAAAUACUCUUAUUUUACAGAUAAGGAAACCAAGGCUAUUCAGCCAAAAAGCAAUGGAUACGCUAUGAUCGCUGCUUUAUAAGUAGCAAGAAAUCUCACCUCCUUAAUUAAGAAUGGCAGACAUAUUUGUGUAGUACUUACCGUGUGCCAAAUGCCUUUGUAGCCCUUGAAUCUAUUAACUAGUCCUCACAACAUCCCUUGGAGGCAGGUAAUGUUAAUGACUCCAGUUUCACAGAUGAAGAAAUCAAGGAAACAGAGAGGUUAAGUGAUUUGGUUGAGAUUACACAGUUCGUAAGAGGGUGAGCCAGAAUCCUCAUUCUGGCUCCAAAGUCCAUGCUCUUAGCCACUCAGGUAUCUUCAUUCUAACCUUUCACUUUCCAUCAAAUAACUUCUUUACUGCAUAAUUCCUUGACUGUAUUCAUGUUUGUACUACAUAGAAUCUGGUUUGUCUGUUAGCUUCAGCUUACUGGAUCUUGCCUGCAGGUUAGUAAAAGUUGACAUUUUUUUACUCCUUCCUCUUUUUCAAACAGUUUGCUCUCUGGCACUUCCUGUCUGAAAGGUGGUUAGCCCCACUGAUGCCUCCUUCCCCUUUCUGCUCCCAUAUGCUGCCUCUGUGUAUAAUACUGGGGAAUGUCAUGCCCCAGCUGCAGGUGGUUUUCUCUGUUGUAUACAGUGGCCAUUUGUGACACGAGAUAGUGUUCUCCUGUCUCCUCAGUGGACUGUGAUCACUUUAGAAGCUAGUUUUUUCUCAUACAUUCCUUGCAUUUGAACUUAUUUUUGUAUCUUGCUUAUUUCUCAGAAGACUUGUGAUAGCAUAUAUGGUACCUUCCAACUUAAUACCCAUCUACCCCCCAGCUUUAGAAGCACACACACAGCUUGUUAUCAGUUAACUUGUUGAAUAAGUCUCUCUCCCUCUCUUUUUUUCCCUAACAUAUUUAUAUAUGAUUAUGUCUUUGGGACAUAAUGUGGUAAAAUAAAAUACUUUAUUAUUUACAAUGCCAUGACCAUAAUCUCUUUCAAUCUCUCCAGCCAAAGUUACAUGUUUCCUACAGUACUAAUGGUUUGGGUUUUUAAUCUGUUGUUUUUUUCUUAUUGUUUUGAGGACUAAGAACAAAAAAACUAACGUUUGGAAAUACGUUUGGAAAUAACUUUUCUCCUGCCUCCUUUUGUACACAGCCUGAAUAAUAAUGUAGCCUUUACCUCCAUGGUAAUGUGAUAGAAUUAAUAUAUAAGAAGUUACAAUAAAAUAUUUGAAAAUGGAUUCUAACCAUUAAAUGUUGUUUCUGCAUAAAGCAUACUGUAGAAAAUUCUGGAGUUGAAUGUUUAACGUGCCUAAUAACAGUUUUACUCUGAACUCCCUAGAGUUUAUAGAUUAGGUUUUAUAGGUUUAACAGUUGUUGCAGCUGGGUGGGUGGGUGGGUGUGGGUGUGUGUGUGUGUGUGUGUGUGUGUGUGUGUAGUAAGUGUAAUAUCUGGUAUUAAAAGCCUUGGGACUUCCAUCUUUUAAAUGAAAUAGAAGUUCAACCUUUCUCCAGCAGAUGGUGAUCGUGAGUCACAUGGAAAAAUUUAACUUGUCUGGGAAAUGCAUUACAUGUAUAUGUAUAUUUUUAGCUUACACAUACAGAUGCCUCCCUCUGACUGCCUCUUUCCUAAAAUGAAUGAAAAGGAGAUUGAUAGCUAAUUCCUUUUUACUUUCUGAUAAGCCAUGGUCUCUAAGUUUUAUUGAAAAAUCUAAGAACCAGAAAGGUGAAAGGAUUGGUUCCCUUGCUCAGCCAGUUUCCAAAUAAGGGCUGGAUUUCUGUGUCCAUCCCUAUCCCUAAAACCAUAAUUCCACUCAGGUGUUUAUUUCAUUAACUUUAAUUAGGCUGCUAAUAGGUGUUAGGUAUUGGGGAAGCACAGGCAAAUAAGGAACACUCCCUCAGUGGAGGACCUGAGCAUCAUGGUCUGAACAAAUUCCUUAAGUAGGGAAUUCGGAAGGAACCCGAAAUGGUGACCCACAAGCUUGGUCCAACGGUAGCUCCAGAGACAUAAGUUUUAAAAUGAACUCCGGGGCUCCUGGGCAGCUCAGUCAAUUAAGCAUCCAAUUUAGGUUCGGGUCAUGAUCUCCUGGAUCAUGGGUUCGAACACCGUGUCAGGCUGUAUGCUGGCAGCUCAGAGCCUAGAAACUGCUUUGGAUUCUGUGUCUCCCCCUCUCUCUCUGCCCCUCCCUUGCUUGUGCUCUGUCUCUGCCUUUCUCAAAAAUAAACAUUUAAAAUUUUUUAAAUAAUAAAAAAUAAAAUGAACCCCAAAAGAUUAUUUUACCAGUUAAAAGAGGUCAGAGAUUUUUUUAGGGAAAAAGAACAGGCACAAUAAUACUGAAGAGUCUCUGUAACGAAGAGUUAUUUUUCUGAAAAUACUUUUGCCAUCCCUGAUCAUUUGAAGACUCUAGGAUUUUUAAUGUAUCUAGAGUCAGGGUGAUAUCACUGCUUCCUUGGUCUGAGCUUGCAUUCUGGGUUAAAAUCGCUGGGGUGAGUGUUCAGUAGGAAUUGUGGGUGAUUGUCAUUAAAACCACCCUACUGAGGCAGGUUUCAACAUGGCAGAGCACGGGUCCUGCAGGUGCAUUGCCCUGGCUUUACAUUUAGCUGUCAUAAUGUUAAGGGUCAACCGUUUUUGGCUUCUUCUUUGGCUACUUUAUUUAUUUUUUUUAAUUUUUAUUUUUGUAUCUGUUUUUAUUUUUAGAGACUGCAUGAGCAGGGGAAAGGGGCAGAGAGAUAGAUGAAGACAGAGAAUUCUAAGCAGGCUCCAUGUUCAGCACAGAGCCCAAAGGGGCUUGAUCCCACGACCCUAGAAUCAUGAUCUGAGCCCACAUCAAGAGUCAGAUGCUCAACCGACUGAGGCACCAUAGCGUUCUUUGGCUACUUUAAAUGAGACAUGUGGAUUAUGUAGUCUCUUUUUAUGUGAUUGCAAUCUGUUUUUUGGGGUGGACCACAAUAUUAGACUUAGCAUGUAGAUAGUGAAUUUUAAAUCUUUCUUCUAACAGCAAAACCCAUUUAGCAAACAAAGUAUUGCCUGAAUCAUAAUAUGUAUAAGAGAUACAAGCAGAGUUGCUCUGAUUAAGGGUGGAGGGGUGGAGAGGACCCCCAAAUUGGCUCUCCCCUCAACCUCAGCACCUUGCCCUCAUCAUGGUCAGUGAGAAGCCUUUCAUGAUUCUGGGCUUCACUGAGCACCUUUUGAAACCAUAUAAUAUUCCAUCUGUGUGUGAAAUUUUUAGAAAAUGUGCUUCUCAAAAUACUAUAGAUUUUCAAUGCUUUUCAGUUUUGUUAGGAAGAAAGAGGGCACGCACAUGAGCGGGGGAGAGGGGCAGAGGGAGAAGGAGAGAGAAUCUUAAGCGGGUUCCAUGCCCAGCGUGGAGCCAGAGUCAGGGCUCAAUUCCAUGACCCUGGGAUCAUGACUGAGCUGAAAUCAAGAGUCGAAUGCUUAACCAACUGAGCCACCCAGGUGCCCCUCAAUGCUUUUCACUUUUCAAUGAAAAACCAGAUCAUCACUGUGGUCCCUGCACAAGAGGUUUCUGAACAUAUUUGAAUUAAUGAUGCAAAAUGCCAUUGACAUGUUAAUGGUAGUAUUACAUUAAAGACAUUCAAAAUUUGAAAGAUUCGUAGAGCUUUUCCUGAAAAUGAGAAUAUUUUUAAUAUGUUACAAAAUAAGUGAAAAUUUUAUAAAUAAGAUUGUACUUUUAAACCCUACUCACUAUCUUAUCCCUCCAGUGUUUGUUCAAAGAAGUAACUCAGUUUUUGAAAUUUAGUUAAAACCUUAUUCCUUUGGGUGCAGUAACUCCUAGCAUAAGCUGAAAAAAUAUCCAAAUAGACCGAAAACAUCCAAGAAGAUAAUGACUUUGGUCCCUUGGCACAGUGCUUUGUUACUUUUCUUUCCCAGCAAUCUGAGCACUAGAAAGCACCCCCUUCCUCCUCCAGGGCACUAUAGGAAAGAAGAAUGUAUAAGAGAUUUGAAAAAGUCCUCUGGAUACCAUUAUCCCUACUGACUGUCGUUAGAGGAGAAGUUUUAGGACUUUUACAUCCAUCUGUAAAUAUCAGCAUCAUCUCUGCUCAUGGUUUGGACUCCAACCCUUGUAUUCAGAUGGUAAACUUUUCAGGAUUAAAAAAAAAAGAAGAAAUUCUAAUGCUAUGGGUUGUUUCAAGAUGUUCCUGAAACAUCUUUUUUCUGUUACCAAUAGAGGCCAAGACGCAGCAUUGAUUCCUAGGAAGACAAAAUCGUACAGGAACAAGAAGGGUCAGUCACAUGGUUAAAAUGCAAAAGGGAUUAUUAGAAUCAUAUUAGAUACUUGAGGUGUCUUGACCCGGUUUAGGAAGGGGAAUUGUAGCACCACUUUGGAUUUUAUGGACGGUAACAUCUCUGCAUGUCUUUACCACCACUUCUGAGAACCUCGUUUCCCCCUUCUUCAGACAGUAUACCUGACUUGCUUUAUGUACUUUAACCUUGCUCUUUUGAAAAACAAUUCAUGUAUUUGGACUUGUAAUUUUAGAUUAUGAAACCACCUAUACUACGCUGGUCUGCAUUUUUAAAAAUCUGAUUUUUAGAAUAACAUUUAGAACUCAUUUGUAUAUAUUUGGUCAGGAGAAAUUACAGAUAAGUAACAGAAUGAUUACGGAGCUUUAUGCUUCAUUAGCAGUGGUUUCCCUGAAAUUUCUCACCUUGUUCUUUGAUCUGUCACUUUACAUUUAUUCUAACGUCCUUCUAAAACAAUUUUUUUUUUUUUUUUUGCCUCAUCUUCAUACUCUGCUGCUGGGUUCCCUUGAAAAUUUAUAGUACAGAGGGCUCUGAUCUUAUCAGGGAAGAUUUUCUAAUUAAACCAUUGGCUGAAAUAGGAAGGUGUCCCUUCGUGGUAAAUAUAGAUUUCUGAAAACGUUUUAUAUUUAUUUGCUUCAAUAGAGAAAUGCAAUUAUAUCUUUAGCAUUGCACAGAUUACCUACUGAUUGCAUCUAGUGUUUAUGAAAGCAAAUUAUUUAUCUUGAGCAGUAACCGAAAACAGAGUGAGAUAUAAUAGUGGGCAGUGAUUGAAGCAGUAUUUCCCUGGUGAUCAAAUUGGUGGUUUCUUUUUUCUUCCUGUUAUGAGGCAUAGAUUGUGAAAUAUGUUUUUAAAAAAUAGCAACUUAGUUGAUGCAGUUUUGUUUAAUAGAUUAUGGUUCAGAGAAGAUCAUUUCUGAGCUUGAGAGUAAUCAAGGUAGGGGUGCCUGGGUGGCUCAGUCGGUUAAGUGACCGACUUCGGCUCAGGUCAUGAUCUCACGGUUCAUGGGUUUGAGCCCCGCGUUGGGCUCUGCGCUGACAACUCAGAGCCUGGAGCCUGCUUCAGAUUCUGUGUCUCCCUCUCUCUCUGCCCCUCCCCCAUUCGUGCUGUGUUUCUCUCUGUCUCUCAAAACUGAAUAAACGCUAAAAAAAAAAAAUUUUUUAAAAGAGUAAUCAGAACACUGCAACUUUGACAAUCUAGCUCUCCUUUGAAUCAGAGAGCAAUGUUUUACACACAUUUUGUGAUUUCUGUAACCUGUACCCUCCACUAGGUUGAAGCCUCAUGAGAGCAAGGACUGUUUUUCUCGUAUUCGUCACUGUGUUUCCAGUGCCUGCCUGUCUGGCCCAUGUUGACUACUGAAUAAAUAUUUGAUGAAUAAAUAAACGAUUCAGUUAAAUAAUUUAUUCAGAAGCUAAAUUUAUUUAGUAGGUGCUUGCCUAAUGAAAGCCUGGCCCCUAUUGCUAAUGUAUGUAGUCCAUGUUUUCUUCACAUGGAGGAUGUUUGUGUCACAUGUGUUGUCACUAAGGAUUAAUUUAAGGAUAUGUCGGGGAAAAAAGAGCUAAUAAUUCUAAAGAAUGCAUUCUGUAGAAAUGUGGUCACAGCCAUUUUGAAAACUUCCUAAAUUAUUUAACCUAUGAACGUGACAAGCACACGUUUGAGAAUAUUCAUCAGCAGACGCCUGGACACAUGGCGGGCUGAGUUCUGGGAUCUGGGGCACAGCAAGGGAAAAGGACCGAGAAAAAUCCCUCUCUUCGGUUUCAGUGGGCGGAGACAGGCAGUGCACUUGUAAACUGAAAAAUGAAGUUCCAGACAGGGCUUAGUGCCCCGAGCACUGAGAUGAGUCCCCAAGGUCGGACCGUGAGGUGGAGUGACCUUUUUUACAUUAUCUCCUUAACUUCCCCUUCGAACGUGGCUGACAUUUUUGGGACUUCAUGAAGACUUCUUUGAUGUGGUGUGAUAAAUAGAUCAACCAUGAUACACAGUGUGACUAAACACAACAGUCUAGCACCCUUCGCAACACGUGGCAACGAGUGGUUUAGAGGAUUCCUAGAAAAAUAUAAAACUUAAUGGAAAACAGGACUUUUCUUGAGCAUUUAUGACUGCCAAGUUCACAGUAACUUCUGUAUUAGAAUGUAAUGCUUUUUCAGAUAAAACUACCGCUUCUAUUCUUAGAGGCUGCAAAUAUCCCUUUCAUUUGUACUAAAAAAUGAAAUGUACUAGAUGAAAAUUUACAUGAUGUACUGGUGAUUUCAUGGUUUAAAAUUCCAGUAGUUUCCUGUUUUACUGUUUGCUUAAGAAUAUUUGCAGCCUGUCAGCUCAUCCACUAAGACCUGACACUUUUUGAGCAUUUACUAAGUUCCAGGUCCCCUUGCUUAGUUAAAGGGCCUAUAAAGUGGAGUACACGAAAUGAUCCAUUGGGUGAGAGAGUGUUACAACUUCUGUUACUAGUUAUAUUUGAUCUCAACUUUUUUAUAAUUUCUCUUUACUCUGCAAAGUACAGAAUUUAUUGAUAUUAACAGAGUUUGUUAGACAAAAACAGAACAAUGUCCUAGGUAAGCACUCAACAUUUUUUCCUAACAUACUACUCAAAAAAAAAAAAAGUUUUGAGAUCAUUUCUCAGAAAGAUCCUAUUCAGUCUGUAUUAAUUGGCCUUACCUUGCUGAUUUAGAAAUUCUUAGGAAAGUUACUUGCUGAGGGAUACAUAUCCAGUGGUUGGCGGAGCAGGGAUUCAAAUCCCAGUUCGGUCUUAAUUCCAAAUCCCAUGUUAAUAAACCAUAUGUUAUUCUGUAGGUGUGGUUUAGAAGAAAGCAAGAAUGUAUGUAAAAUAUGGUAAACUUGAAAAAUAAAACGUAACCAAGCGUGUAGCUUCCAGAUCAGCACUUGAGAGGCAUGGCAUUGUUAGGACAUGUCCCCGUAGUAAACGAGAUAACCUCUGUGCAUCAUUUUCCUUAAAAAUGAAGGUAGAAAUUUGUGUUUCAUGAUUUUCCCUCAACUCAUCUUGGGAAUCGUAUUUAAAGUACUUAAGGUUUUCUUAGUACUCUUUCUCUGUUUACAUGCUUCUCCUUUUUGGCCUGAUAGAUCUCUUACGACGAGCCUUUUGCGGUAGGCUUUCCACACUGCGUAUUGCUGCCUUCUCGCCCAGAGAAGAUGGCUGUUGUUUUUGCAGGCUACACCCAAUCGCCUCUCAAAUCCUGAUUCCUUUCAGCUGGGUGUGUGAAUUCUGACCUUAUUUGGCAAGCCCUUGGCCGCAUGAGAGCUCAAAUAUGAUUUCCGUGGUUCACAAAGCACUAAGUUAAAAUCUACUUCUUGGCCUUGGAAAAAUUAACCAGUUGCACGAUUUCUCCAGAAGCAGGCAAGUGAGCCAUUCCAGUGACUUAAUGCUCUUUGUCCUAGCGUUCUGUAGCCCCACUUACACUGGAAGGAAAGAAGUAUGAGAUUCUCCUUUUUAAAAUAAAACCCCAUUGUUGUAUGCUAAACGAGGUUGAGAAGAAAAACUACAAGAGUGAAUGUUGACCAGUGGAAUGCAGAACAGAGAGGACGCUGGCAACCUGUGUGAGCCAGCAUUAUAAAAUGACUAAGAAUCACAUACCCACCAGCACAUCCGUAUUCCAGGAUUGCCAUAUUUUCAAGCUGAAAAGAAUGAGGACUGCCAUAGCCUCUUAACUGGUCUUAAGGCCUCUAUUUUUCCUAAUCCAUCCCUAGUUGGCCACCAGUACACUUUCUGGAAUGUAAAUCUGAUCCUGUUCCUCUUCUAAAACUCUUCUCCAAAUAACCUUUGCCUUUGGAACCCUGCACAUAACACCCAGACCCUUCCAUUUCCAUUCCCUACCAGCUUUUCCAGCCCCAUCUUUUUCCUAACUUACUACUCAGAGUUUGAGACUACUGAUCCAAUUUCAUCCUUAGAACAAUCCUACUAAAUUAGUAGUCUGUAAAUCACUACCACACCUCGCUUCACAUAUUAUUUCCAUAUUGUCUGAAUGGCAACGUCUCAAGUACAAUAUGCUUUUGCAUACUUUCUGCCUUUGCACAUGUGAUUUCUUCUGUUUAGAAUUCCUUUGCCCAUCCUUCCCCCACCCUGGCUCAGCCUUAAUUCCUCAUUUAAGGUCAAGUGUUAACUCAUGUGGGAUUGGGUUUUUGAGCCACCCAGACUAAAGAAGGUAUCUCUUCCCCAUGUGUCUCUUUUGUACCUGCAGAAAAUGUUUUGUUUACUUUUAAGGUAGCAUAUAGCAUAUGUAAUAUGAUCAUUUGGGGAGAACACUUUUUCUCUGACGGUAGCCCUGUAUUACAGUUAAGAGAUUUUUGUCUGCAGUUUGGGAUUGCAAGAAGAGAGAAUUGGGACCAGAGGAUCUGAGGUCAGGCUAAGAAAGAAUGGUCAGAUUUGGACAAGGAAAUAUCCAGAGCAGUCAGUCAGGGUGGAACCCAGUGCAGAAAUGGGCUGCUCACAGCAUUCUACACCAGGGGUCUGCAAACUCCAGCACAAGGGCCAAAUGCACCCACUGCCUAGCUCUGUAAAUCAAGUUUUAUUGGAACCCAGCUACACCCACUUGGUUACACAUGGUCUUUGGCUGUUUUCAUGCCACGACAGAAUUGAGCAGUUGCAGCAAGCCCCAAACCCUACAAUAUUUACCCUCUGUCCCUUCACAGAAAAAUGUUGUCAAGCUUGCUCUAAAAAAGCAGUUGUUGUAGUGAGGUCCUCAAACCCAGAGCAUGUUACCAUUGCACAUUCCCAGGCUUCACCUCAGACCUACUCGAUGAGAAAUCUGUGUGUAAUAAGCCCUUCAGGUGACUCUGAAAACCACCACUCUAGAUUCCUGGCCCCAUGGCUAAUUACUCGGGGCUUGAUGAUAGCCAGGCAGCCGGGGUCUAGGAGAAACAGAUACCAGUAAAAGGAAAGGAGGUACAAUGAGAAAACAAGAUGAGGGGGAAUCCAAAGAAGAAUCUCUAAGGGUACAUUCUAAAAUAAAAAUUUCCUGCAGAAGGAACCCACUGUUGUAUCCCACCCUCUUGCCCAGAAGUACCUGCCCAGAGUAUGUCUGUGAAAGAAUGAGGGCAGGUGUGUGGGUGUGCUUGGAGAGGAGCCAGUCCCAAAAUGGGAUUCCGGAGCCUUCCAGUGGAAACAAAUAGGUACCCUUAGCAGGAGUGGCUCUGGACCGAGUCUGAAACCCAUUCAGAGAAACAAAGUUAUUACCAAAGACCGAAGAACAGAUACAAAUGUUUAUUUUAUUUUUUUUUUUUCUUCAACGUUUAUUUAUUUUUGGGACAGAGAGAGACAGAGCAUGAACGGGCGGGGGCAGAGAGAGAGGGAGACACAGAAUCGGAAACAGGCUCCAGGCUCUGAGCCAUCAGCCCAGAGCCCGACGCGGGGCUCGAACUCACGGACCGCGAGAUCGUGACCUGGCUGAAGUCGGACGCUUAACCGACUGCGCCACCCAGGCGCCCCAGAUACAAAUGUUUAAAAACCUAAUGAUUUGAAUAAAAUCCUAACUCCUUUAAUCUCAGUUUUACUUCUUGUUCGCUGCCUUUGGGUAUUUAUUGAUUCCUGGGACUUUGUUCGUACCGACGUAGCUCAACUGUACCUCUGUUUGACCCUAAUUUGCUCAACCUCCCCAAAGCUAUUAACUGAAUUAAUAAAUGUAAAGCACUUAGCAGUGUCUGGUACAUUCUUUCUAGUAAGGAAAUAUUUCAUCUUCCUGGUCACAAUCUUAUUUCAUACUGAAAUAUAGGUUAUUCUAGUAUUUAUCUAUAUUUACUCUAGGAGGAAAACUUUGCUUACCAGCAUUCUGUCUUUGUCUUUAAAGAAGCUUCCGCCAAAUAGUCCAUGUUGUAAUCUGAAGCCUAAAUUGUUUUUUGAGUUUGAUUAUUAAACUUUUUAUCAUUUAGGAACAUUAUCACAAACUUUUUAAAAAUACAAAGAAAUCUAAGUACUAACCAAACAUUUGCACAUGGUAAUAAGUCAUUCUGAGGUUCUGUUAUUUGGCAAAAUAUACAAUGAAUGGGAAAAACAUAAUUUCUAAAUCCAUCAUGAUACAUUUUACCAUACAGGUUUUAAGUACUCUGCAUGAAGGCUUUUAUCUUGACUAGGGUUGAAAUUUUACAAUUAUGUGCCUUUUAAAAUUCCGCCUACUUUAUGAACAUCUGAAAGAGAAAAUAAGAUUGUGGAGGGCUUUACUGGGUGAAUAAAUAUUAUUUCAUGAUUUUUCAGUGAUAAUUAAAUCUACAUUAUGUCAAAGAGUCCUCAACCUGAAACCUUUAUAACUUUUGGCAUAGUGACAUUUUGAAAGUAAAAUUAGUGUUGGACUUUUUUUUUUAAUUCCAUAAAUGCCAGGGGAAUUUUAUCAUGUUUCAACACUUGCUGAAUAUGUAAUUCCCAUAGUGCACAUUAGUGGCCAUCUGUGUAAGGUAAUACAUGUUUGGGAUGAAAUUGAUUACGGCUUAAACACUCCUGUGUUAUGAUCAGGAAAAGCACGCAAAGUUCACAUCUUUUUUUCUAGUGGUCAUUAUGUAGCUAAAGAUAUUAAUUUCCAGGGGCAAACAGCCUAUCACUCAAGAUCUUAAUCUCACAAUAAAUGACACCAGGGCCAAAGGAAAGGAGGCUAUGGGGCCUUCCACUAAAAUUAGUUAACACUGUGCUCCAGGAGCUCUUAGGAUAAAAGAAAAAGUAACAGGCUUGGGGACACGGUUUUUCUUUUGUAGGCUUCAGGGUAGACCCACUGCAAUUUUGCUGCAUAUUCAGAACUGUUUCAUUACCCUUUUGAGAAAAUCCUGUUAUUAGAGCCACCAACACACCCCAGGUUAGCCUGCUUGUAAUUUUUCUUCGCAUGCUCAUUGCUGGCCCUGCCUCUUUAGUCCUUUAUAUUAUUUUUGCCUGGUUUAAAGAAUGUCUCCUUUUCAUCUGUGCAAAAUCAGAUGCUUUCCUUCCUUCAAAUAUGGCUUCAAUGUGAUCUCACCCAUGCAGUUAUUUUGUUUUUAUUAGAUUCGUGCAUGGUAAUGUAUGCCUGUAGACUUCUUGAGCUCGUUUCUCCCCUUGGAGCUACAAGAUACACAAAUACACUUGUUUAUGUAUUUCUAAUGAAUGCGUUCACAUCUUGACUCUCCCAUUAUCUAGUUACCUCAGGGUUUUGUGAGACAUUACCAGAAAAUAAUUUUUUAGUUUAGAAAAUUUUAAGAGCUCGUAUUACUGAACUGUCCCCCACGAUCGUUAGAAAAAAUCUUAUCAUGCUUUCUGUGGAUUAUUUGACAUUUGAACACAGGUAUAUUCUGAUCUUCCCUGGGAUGUGGGCCAGGAUGAUUUAGCUGCAGAUGCCCCGAAAGUAGCUGAAAGAAUGGAUAGAGUCAUUGUCUAAACGUUGAAAUAUAGCCAUUGUGAUGUUGGCAUAGUUGAUGCUGAACUGUACUUCCUUUGUGUUCUUGAACUUCUUGAUGAUAAUUAUUCAUCAGGUUAUGAUAGAUUUCAAAUCUGCUUCCCAUUAAAGAUAAUAAAAUAAUACUAUCUCUUUAAAGAAGGGAAUUUGCCUUCCUGUCUUACAUAUUAUAAACUAAGAAGUCAUGCGCCAAGAGUAUCUAAUAGCUGUAUAAUGUAUUUGGAAUAUAUUGAAAAGAAUGUAGUCUAGACUGCAACAGUACUGGAUAAUAUCUAGAUUUCGGAAUCUUUCUUAACUUUUUUUUUGUCAUUCACUCAGCAAACACUGAAUGCUGACUGCCAGUGUUCCAGAGAUACAGUGUAAAGGUGAACAAGAUGUGGUGCCUCCUCUCGAACAAAACUAUGGGUCGUACAUUGAAACAGUUAAUCUGAAUAUGGUACAUUGAAAUGAGUAAAGACGAGCAAAGUUCUGUCAGAGCACCGUAGAGGAGAAGACUUGUGUUAGAAGUACGGCUUCAAGGAAGCAGUUAACUUUUGAGACUGGCCUUGCAGGAUGAGCUGGGUUUCCCCAGGCAAAGCAGUGGAGGAUGUGUGUGCCUCUGUAUACGUACAUGCACACAAAGACACAUGCACGUAUACAUACACACCUGUGCACAUGCACGCCCAGCUAUAUUUAAGCAUUGUGGCAAAGACUGUUGGCUGGCUAAUUUAACACUCGUUCCCAUCCUUUUCUGUCUUGUCAUCCCACUAUCGAGGCUGGAAAAGCUCAGUACUGAUAGUGAAGCAUGGCCAUGGAAAUAUAAAUAAACAAAAAUGGCCAUGUUUGGAAAUCUGCUAGGGACUUUUAGAAACACUUUUGCUUUCAAGUAAGAGAUGGAUACAGUUGCCAUUGCCCCCUUAUUCUUGUCUUCAGUUGUGGCAGUGAUAAUUAUAGCUGUGGCAGCCACCUUGAGACAUUGAGAAAGUCUUGGAAAGUGACUUGAACUAUCAGUCUAAUGCCUGUAACUGGCUAUCCCAAUACUACUUAGGGAAGGAAAACCAAAUCUUCAUUUAAGCCAUUGUUAGACUUUUUCUAUUAUAGCCAGAAGCAUUCCUAAGUAAUAUACCCAUAAGCCCUCUCUCACUCACUCAUGUUUGCUUACAUAUAUUUUAACCUUAUUUCUUUCCCAUGCCUACCAAGACUUAGGACUAAUUUUAAACUUACACUUUGGUAAAUAGUAAGCAGAACUUAAUGUUAGGAGAAAGAAGAUGGAAUGCUUUCUUUGUUAUUACCAGUUUAGACACUAUCCUUAGCACUUCAUUUCCCUUAUAUCUAUACUGUCCCUGUCUGGUGUUUUAAAAUAAAAAUGAAGGCAAGAAGGGAGAAACAGCUUGAAAAGAAAGAUAAAUGUUGAUGUAGAGGAUCAUCCUGGUGGUUAGGUUACAGGGAAAAUCCAAGAAUCAGUUGAUUGUGGCUUAGUUUGUCAGUUUGCAUUCUUAUGUAUUUAGGACCAAGAACCAUCCCCUGUACCUCUGUAGUGAGCCAGGUUUCCCUAACAACCAAAGAGUUGUUCUCAUUGUUCCUCUAUUUAGGAAGAUGAGAGUAGAAACCAUUCUUCUUUCUGAGUGAUUAGAAGAGCUUUCUGCAGAACAUAUUAUGUUCGGUCUUGUAUGAAACAUACCAACUAGUGAGCAAGCAAUCUUUAAUGGACUCUGGCCUUCCACAGCACAAAUAUGGAGUAAUGUGAUAAUUACCCAACCUAUUCUUUCUUACAGAGACUGAUGCUGUUUCUUGGUUUAUUUCUCUCUUCCUCAGCAUUUCUAAUUGUCUGCUAUGUGUACGUUUUCUGACACUGCAUCAAAUUAUAAUUUAAUUGCAUAAGCAUUUAUUUUUUCAUAAGCAUUUAUUCCUACUCUUUUUCAAACAGAUCGUGAACAUUGCUUCUUUGCUGUGUUGAUCUUCCAUAGUUUUUGUUGUUGUUUUUUUGCAGCUGCCUGCUCGUCUUUAACUCCCUUUUGAUUUCUCCCUUGUGUGUGGCUUUUUGUUUCAUUUUUUGUUUUUGUAAGAAUCGGUUGCCUACCUUAGGAGUAAGGUAAUAUAGGUAUCUUCAGUUUCAUGUCAAAGUACUGGAUUAAAGUCAGGGAUCCUUAAGAGAAAACUCAGUGGGAUACUUGCAAUUUACAUCAAAGUCUACAUAUUACCAUUAUUCUCUGAAAACAUAUACAUACUUUAGUUCUUAAAGAAUCUAAAUGGGUUUUCUUCUUAAAAUUUUUGCCACUCAUUUUCUCUAGAAUCUUCAGCUACUUGGAGCUACAGCCAUUGAGGAUAAAUUACAAGAUCAAGUGCCUGAAACCAUAGAAACUCUCAUGAAAGCAGACAUCAAGAUCUGGAUCCUUACAGGGGACAAACAAGAAACUGCCAUUAACAUUGGUAAUUAACCUAAUUCAACCUUUAAAUCGUAAUGCUUUUUAACAGUUUGACAUAUUUUAGAAGAUAAAUUUGAGAUAUUUCAAGAUUUGAAAGAUUUGGUUUUGUAAGAUUUCCAUAUUUAUAAUAUUGUUGGGCUUAUCUGUUCAUUUAUGGUCCCAAUGUCCCUUUAAAUUUGCAGUGGUUGUAUAUACCUGCAAACCUCAGCUCUUGCAAUCACAAAGUAACCCUCUCUCACCUUUCUAUCUCUGCCUCCCCCCACCUUCCAUCCAUAAUUGACACAUGUAGAUAACAUGUCCGCAGUUGUCUGUGAAAGUCUGGAGAUAGGGACUGUGGCAGACUCGUGUAUCGGCACUUGUUUAUGUGACCAAAGGUUAUUUCUGAGAUGGGAGGUAAUGUUGCCAGCUUUCAUUCAUCCUGCAAUCGUGUCAUUUUUCACAGAGAUUUUAUUAGUCAGCUCAUGUCGCCAUAACAAAAUACCACGAUUGGGUGGGUUAAACAACAGGAAUUUAUUUCCUCGCCGUUCUGGAAGCUGGAAAGUCCAAGAUUGUCUGCAGGUUUGGUUUCUCCCGAAGCAUCUCUUCCUGGCUUGCAGAUGGCCGCCUCCCUACCGUGUCCUCAGCUGGCUCUCUUCUGCGGGUACACACUCGUGGUGUCUCUUUCUCGUCUUAUAAGCACACAAGUCCUAUUGGAUCAUGAACCUGCCCUUCUGACCUCGUUUAACUCAAUCUUCUGGAAGACCCAAUCUCCAAACAUUAUGGGUUCAGGUUCCAACAUGUAAAACUAAGGAGACACAACCCUGUGCAUAACAGAGGUCUUACUGAGAAGAAAGUUGGUAUUUGGUUUAAGGCCCGUAUACUAGUAAUAUGCAAGGAAAUGUCACUCUUUUUUUUUUUUUCUUCCAAAUUCGGUAAUAAUAGUUUGCCUGAGCACUGUAAUCCCUGACAUAGAUUCAACCUCUGGAUAUAAAUCCUAUGAAUUACAUCCAAAACUCUACCAAAGUGGAAGAAACCAUUCAAAGGUAUUGACAGCAUGAAAUCACAUUUUUAGAAAGUCUGUAUCAAGUAUCAUUAUUUAAGAAACAUUUCGCUAGUACUCCUUUUAGAAAUUUUAGUAAUCGCAGCAUUCUGUAAAUAUAAAACUACAACAGAGGGGCGCCUGGGUGGCUCAGUCGGUUGAGUAUCUGACUUCGGCUCUGGUCACGAUCUCGCGGUUUGUGGGUUCGAGCCCUGUGUCAGGCUCUAUGCUGACAGCUCGGAGCCUGGAGUCUGCUUCGGAUCCUGUGUCUCUGUCUCUCUCUGCCCCUCCCCCACUCGUGCUCUGUCUCUCUCUGUCUAUCAAAAAUAAAAAAGAAAAUGUAAAAAAAAAACAAAAAACUACAACAGAUUUAUAGCAAAUUGCUGGAGGUAGAGGACAAUUAAUUUUUAAAAGAUGCUAGUAUAAGUGUAAAUCCAUAAGCCAAACAAAUGGUUAAUUUUGAUUACAAAAAGUAUCACUGGUGUUAGACACAAAUGGAAAGAUGAUGUACAAGAAUACUUUAGAGUUCGGACACCUGAAAAACAGAAAUAGGCUGAACAAAAAGCAUGAUGACAGCUAGAGGAAGACUGUAGGGUGGCAAAGAGUGAUAUGUGAGGAAAAUAAGUGCUGCUGAGAACAAUUGAGGGACGGAGCCAUUAUGACAGUUCCUAUGAAGAGUAUGGAGGUGGCGUUUGGUAACAUUUAACUUCUGGAGUCUUGGGCCAUAAUCUUUAGGGUCUUUUUCCUAGGAUAAAGUAGGUGAGAUCCAUUCAUUUCAUUCAUACAGCAAAUGGGCAUUACACAGAAGGAUUCAGUUUUAAAUCAGGAGGUCAGGAAGAACUCACUGAGAGGAUGACCUUUGAGAAAUGACCUAAGAGAGGAAAGGGAGCUUGUCGUUGGAUGAUUAGGGAAAGCUGUCUUCUGUUCUAAAAAGAGCAGAAAUGCAAAGCGGGGAGCAGGAGAGCAGGUCAGCCACAUGACAGGGCCUCCCAGAUUGCUGUAAAGGCCUUGCAUUUACUCCGAGUGAGAUGGGAAGCCACUGGACGGUUCUGAGCAGAGGAAAGAUGUGGACCGACUUUCCUGCAAGAACGGUCAGUCUGGCCACUAGGCUGGCUGAGAAUGAGCUGGGAGGGAAGCAGGUGUGGAAGCAGGGAGACCAGUGAAGAGGCUGUUAUAUCAAUCCAGGUGAGGCAUGUUGGUUACUUGGACCUGGAUGGUAAAGUGAAAGUGGUGAGUAAUGGCUGGAAUAUGUAUAUAUUUUAAAGGUAGAGCCCACAGGAUUGACUAAUUGAUUAGAUAGGAGGUAUGAGAGAAAGAACGGACUGGAGCAUAAUUCCAAGGCAUCGUAGCUGCUGUGAUUGAAGGAUUGAAUUGCCAUUAACCAAAAUAAGGAAGACCGAGGGGAAGCAGGUUUUCUGGGAGGAGAUCAAGAAUCCAGUUUUGAGAUAUGUUAAGUUUGAGAUGCCUGUUUUACACCUAAGUGUCUGCUCUUACAUAGGCACUGGGAUAUGAGAGUCUGGAGUUCAGGAAAGAGCUCUAAGUAGGAGAUAUGAGUUCCAGAAUGGUCACUGUUUUGAUGGUAUUUAAAACCAUUGUAUCUGGGCACCUGGGUGGCUCAGUCAGUUGAGUGUCUGACUCUUAAUUUCGGCUCAGGUCAUGAUCUCACGGUUCAUGAGUUCAAGCCCCACAUCAGGCUCUGCACUGACAGUGCAGUGUGGAGCCUACUUGGAAUUCAUUCUCUCUCUCUCUCUCUCUCUCUCUCUCUCUCUCUCUCUCUCUCUCUCCCCUCUGCCUGCACACUCUCUCUCUCUGUCUCUCUCUCUCUCUCUCAAAAUAAAAAAUAAACAUUUAAAAAUAUAUAUAUAUCGAAAGAGAUCACAAAAGGAGUAAGGUAGAUGAUACUAUUUUAAAUGUGAUGGUAAUAUUUUAAACACCAGCCAGCCGAGUUGCUUGUUUUUCUCCAGCCAAGUUCAGCUGUACACAAAUGGGUUCUGAGUAGGCAGUGUCAGUUUAACCAGCAGGUGAUUUUGCCCUGCUGCAAGUACAGCAAAGCGAGGAAAGGCAGGACGGUAGAGGAUAUGACAGUAGUCCAAGGGCAGGGGGACAGUGGUGGGAUCCACGGUCCACAAGAUAGCCAGACAACCUUUAGCACCCUUCUCCAAAAACAGCCAUCUCCUCAUGUUGGUCAUCAUGAAGGAUGUUCCAUAUAAGUGUGGUGCUUUUCAGGACAUUGAGAGUCACUACCACGUUCUCUUUCCAUACUUGUUUCUCAAGACAGCUUUAACUUGCCAAAUAUUAUCCUUGUAGCCCUCCUAUAACAAGCAAGAGCAUUUCUUUUUUAACUUCUGCAAACCUGGAAAACAACUAUCACCGGUCCUAAUAAAAUAGAUAAAGCUUUAGUUUUGUCUAAUAAAAUAGAUUAAAAGUAAAUAAAAUUUGAUAUUUUUACAGUAUUAUCACUUUAACAUCUUCGCCACUGCUCUGUAGAGAAAUGAAUUAUAUCAAUUAAUCUACUCUAUGUUUGGACAUAGGACACUCCUGCAAACUUUUGAGGAAGAACAUGGGAAUGAUUGUUAUAAAUGAAGGCUCUCUUGAUGUAAGUAAAAUUAUCUUUUAAAAAAAAUUCCUUUAAUAACUUAACCAUCUUGUUAUAUUUUAUUUUAUAUUCAAAUAGCUGUAAAAAUAUUUGAUCUUCCUUAGGUUAAAAGAGAUUUAUUACUCUUGCUCUGCUGUAACAUAAUGCAUAUUGUUUUGAACCACAUUGUUGUAAAUAGAUCCCAGCUUUAUGUCCAUGACAGCUAAAAGAAGUUGCUAAAUGAUUUGCUUGAUGGUGUGAGACAAAACUUUUUCUGCUUUGCAGAAGCAUUAUGUCAGGAGGUUACUGAGUGACUGCAAUUUGUUCAUGUCUACCUGGGAAUUUUGUAUGUUAAACAUUUAAUAUCUUCUUUAGCUUCCAGUGUUAAUGUGUAUUUUGCUUCUCUUAAAAAAAAAUUAUCUGUGAAACCUAUUGGACAGCAUGAAAUCACCAUUCCUAAAAGGAAAGCCACGUUGUUUUUUUUAAUGUCCUAACUUCUGGGCUGAAAUAUAAAUUCCUUUUUUCAUGGCUGUGAUCACACAAAGUUAUAUUUGGGAAAGGGGGAAAGAUUUGUGAGGUGUACCGUGUAAAAUAGAAGUUAACCCAAAAAAAAUUUUUUUUAAAUAUGCAGGUCAAAUGACCUGUUAAGAAUUUUAAAGUAAAAAGGUGACUGUUUGUAACUUAAGGUGGAAGACAGAACAGGGGAGGUGACUAUACAACUGCUUGAAAUAGACAUUGUGACGCAAAGGGCAGAGAAAACCUGAUAAUUAAGGACGUGGGUGAAGCCGAGAGGCCAGGUAUGCAGAAAGGAUGGUGAAGAGGCAGACAUUUAGUAGAAGUCAGGUGGCAAACGGAAAUUACAGGUCAGAAGUAUUUGACUUCCGGUUUUUAAAUUGGAAUGACGAUCUCUUCAUUAUUUGUCCUCAAGACAAUCCUUGGGAUCCUUUUCCCUUUCUUGUGAAACUUUUGAGAAACUUGUAACCUAAAGAAUAAUACUUGAUUUUUAAACCAUGAAAGUUGGUCACAUCUUUAUUAAUAAGCACAUUGUGUGAACCACGCUUUAAUCCUAAAAACACCUAAAAUCCUAAAAUCCUAAAAACAACCAAAAAAAACAAAAAACAAAAAACAAAAAACACCUAGCCUGUGGUUGGAAGAAUGUCCUUUUUAUUUAUUCAUUCAGCAGGCCUCUGCUAGGCUCCGAGGACACACCACUGGGUAAGCACUCAGCAGACUCUGCCACUUAGGGCUCACAGUUGUCUCUGUUCCCCACCCGUCAUAUUAUUAAUUUUGGGUUUACUCAAGUUACAGUGUUAUGAAAAACCAGAACUAAGAUAGCCAUACCCUUCAAAAGCUUACAGAUAAUAAGGGAAGUAAAAUGCAUAUAAGUAACAGUACCAAACAGAUGCAUAGAUAAGGUGGAUAUAUUGCUAUGACACAAUUGUGAGGCUUGGAAGUGUUUAUAAAGUAAGCGACCCGUGAGUUAGAUGGAGAUGAGUGGUUGAGUAAUGGAGGAAUCCUUGAAUCAGAAAGUUAAUACAUGUAAGUUCAACGUAUAUUUGGGGGCAUAAAAGAGGAACACUGAACUUAAAAGGCUGUAAUUGUCUGAAGUAUUUUGUUUGAAUAAAUGCAGGUACAUAGGGUAAAAUCCAGGUUACAGAAAGGGACAGGUACAAGCGUUACAAACUGAGUCUCCCAUCCUUACACCCACGCUACCCAGUUUAUCUCCCUAGGAACAACCGCUGUUCCAGUUUCCAAGUGUUCAUCCCAAGAUACUCUGCCAUGUCUGAGGGAUAUUUGUGUAUAUCUAUGUGCACAUGCUUUGUUAUUGAACACAAAUUACAGCACACUAUCCAUGCUACUUUAUACCUUGCUUUUGUCUCUUAAUAUUAUCUUAGCAGUUGUUCUCCAAUAAUGUAUGUGAAGCUACCUAAUUCUUUUUAAAUGGUGACACAGUAUUCAUAAGGAAACGGCAAAGAAAUGACAGUGGGGGGUGACUGUCAUUAAAACUGGAAAGAUAGUCUCAGGUCAACUGUGGAAAGCUGGGCCAGGUUUGAGAAUUUGCCUCCACAGGUAAGGGAAGCAACUUCAUCAGCCCUUUAAGAGAGGUAUGAUGUGUCAAAGCAACCGACCAUAGACAAGUGUGGAAGGCUGGAGAGUCAUGGGGUGCAGGCAGCAGGCCAGGAUAAGAGUUAGGUAAGAGGGGAUGGGGUGCCAUUGCCAUCCAUGUUAUGGGAGAGAAAUUCAGGGAGACUUCUCCCAUGUGGUCCCUGGAGAAAGAGGAAGCCAUCACGAGUGGCUCCAGAACUGGGCCAUGGUUGUUCACAACAUUACAAGAGCCUCCAUGGAAGCAUUUUCCUAGUCCCUGUAGACGUGUAGGCCUUUGUCAGCAACAUGGGUUACAGGUAGUAGAUGGUUUUUCUGACACUUGAAAGAAGUCAGAGGUGAGACCUCUGACGUCAAAGCAAAAGCAUGUCAAGCCAUGCUUGACCUGUCACAUGAUCCUUUUUGUCUGGAUGUAAGCUUUCAUCUUACGUAGCUUACGACAGCAAUGCUUCUUGUUUUCAUCUCUUUCAUAAUUUUUCUCCAACUGGGAUGAGCACGUUCUUUUUGUGUUGCGGGUAUCGAGUGAUAGAACUAGUAAUCUCAAGAAUAAAAAAGUAAAGGGAAAUACCAAAGAUAGUCAGCGUGCUGCAUCAUGUAUUGUUAAGCCAAUGGCAUUUACUUGCAUUUUGGAGUUUUCAGAGUGGCAACCCUAAGACAUAACUGCCUCAAGGGGUACCUGCACUCCCUAUUUCUACUGGACCAAACAUAGCUAGGACUCUCAAGGGAAUACUCAAUUUCAGGAAAGCAGGUCUGUGUCUAUGUAUUUUGGUUUGCCAGCCUCUCUCAAUGCCCAGCAGACUGCCUACCCCAUAAGUACUCCAUAAACACUUGAGAAUUAAGUCACAGAGUAAUUUUCAAUUAAGGGUUUCCCUUUAAAAAAUAUAUAUUGUAUAUCAGUUUUAAAUUUGGCAGUAAUCGAUCUUACCUGGUAUUUUUAAAGUAAAGUAGUUAGAAAGGUUCUUAGCAAUUCAGGUGACAGUGUGGUGUGGAAGAUCGUAGGCAAACCCUGGCUGACGGAUUAGCACUCACUUAUCCAGCUCUGGACCGCCAUGCAUUCUCUCCCUGCUGGUAGGGGCAGGCUGUUCUCCCAGGGAGUUAAGUGGUGACUUUACAAAUCUGGCCUUGGGGUCAGACCCUCUCUGGUGCACUCAUUUGCUUCUCAGCAGGAAAGGACACAUCACUUUGCAUAGCUCCUUCAGGUCUUGUGUCCUAAAAUCCACAGCUGAGAUUUCAAGGAAAUCAUGAGAUGUGCUAGAACACCUGCAGAUAAAUCAUUAUUUAUUUUCCAUUGUCACGGAAAAGAAAAGCAUCCUGUGUGUUCACAUUGUACUGAUGAGGAUACACUAUGGGAUUCCCAUUCCAUCAGCACAAACAAAUAAUUAACAUUUAAGCAAUAAACUUAGUAGGAACGUAAUGUCUCAGGAAAUAAUACAACAGUAAAUAGAUUGUGGGUAUAUGUUUCAUCAAGUGGCAGUUUUAACGAACGCACUUAAAUUAUUCCAUUAAAUGUUACAGUUCUGCCCUAUUCUGAAUGUGGGACCCUGGGCAAAUUGAAAUUAGGUAACCGCUCUGAGCCAAUUUUGCUGCCUGCAAAGCAAGGAUAAUGUUACCGUUGGCACAGGACUGCCAUGAUUAGUACAGGGCAUGGCACGUACGAGAAAGAGAUAUUAUAAAAUUUUGUAGAAAAAUAUUAUUUCAGUAGCCUGCAAGUUGUUUUGCAUAAUGACCAUUUUUAUUAUGAAAGAUACAUUAUUCCCCCAUCUUUUCAUUUUUUUCCUAAGCAAGAUAUAAAUGUGGAUCUUCUUUUGCAGAAGUGAUACCUAGUGCUAUGAACUGUGCAAAUUUUAUACCAAGAUACUCCUAAUACUGUUAACAUUUUAAAGUUGAAUCUUCUUUUUCAACUUGUAUAAGUAAACUAUUAUAUUUGAGGUUCUUGAGUUUCCAAAUAGAAAAGACUUUUUCCUGGCAAUCACAGUAAAGGAAUUUUUUUGUCUUCCCAUAAUCUAGCGCAUGUCCAAAAAAAAAAAAAAAGUUAUUUGGAUUUCUAAUUUUCUCAUUUUGAGUUUCAGUACAGUUAUCUGUGUUGAAAAAUUAAUGGCCAUUCAGCAUUUUUAAAACCUUUAAGUAAAUAUAUAAAACCAAACCACAGUUGAAAAUACAGAAUGAAAGUCUUGCUCCACAGAUCUGAUAGGGAAAUCUGACGGGCUUUUCUGUAUCUGCCCAUUCCUGGCUUCCUUCAUGGCAAGAGCGGUCUCCCCUGACAGCAGCUGCCCGGAGCACAGCCGGGUGCUUGCACCCAGUUACCUACCAAGCUACCAUUUAACAUUGACAUUGUCAGCAAAAGAGUUUGUUAGGAACUUUGAUCAUGUUUUUCUCUUAGUUUAGAAAGUAAGAAUUUCAUGGGUCCACGCCAUUAAGAAUCCUCUGAAGUUGGGGGCUCCUGGGUGGCUCAGUCGGUUGGGCAACUGACUUCAGCUCAGGUCAUGAUCUCACAGCUCGUGAGUUCAAGCCCUGGGUCAGGCUCUGUGCUGACAGCUCGGAGCCUGGAUCCUAGUUCGGAUUCUUUGUCCCUCUCUCUGUCCCUCACCUGCUCACACACUGUCUCUGUCUCAAAAAUAAACUUAAAAAAAUUUUUUUUCUAAAGAAUCCUCUAAAGUUGAUCAAAAUCUAUUAGAUAUUUGUAAUAAAUUGAUCAUUUGGGUAAUAUACUUAUAUAAUUUUUUACUGUGCUACUUUGAAUCACUUUAUUAGAAGUUCUGACUGUGUUCGUGGUAUGAGACAUUUCUUUAAGGGUCUGCAAAGGCAGGAAUUUCAAAUUCCUGGCAUGAAGGGUAUAUUGUACUUCUUCUGUAAUUCCUUAGCAAUGCCCAGGAAAUAUGGACCAUUAUCAUAACCAUGAUUAUUAUUAUUUCUUUUAGCAUUAUUAUUCCCGGGGCUGGGGGGUGGGGGGCAGACAUCCCACUUCUCAGAAACCCCUUCCACUUAAUGACCUAGCUUGAAGGGAUUCUUCUAGCAUCGCUUUUAUAUCUUUAAUUUGUCAUGAUUUGUUCAAAGUCUGUCUGCUAAAACUGGAAAUGUCUAAAAAUGUGAGCUAAGAACUAGGGAAUCUCAAUUUGUCUUUAGCUCCCAGUAUCUAAUUAAGGCCUUUCAAAAUGUACAAAAAGCUCUCUACAUCCAGAUUCCACUGUUCUCAUCUGUCAAGUCUAGGGUGAAUGGGAGGGACCAUAAUUUCUUAAGCCAUUAACUCUAUAGGUGCCAGAACAAUCUUUCUGAGCCUCACAUAAUAUACCCUUAACCUUGAUCUCUCCUUCUUAUAGCAUUUCUUUUACGUGGACAGUUGUUGGAUGUGUCCUGGGAGGUAGGGCUGGAUCUUAAAUCCAUUUUCCUUUCUACUGUCUGGCUUCCUAGGAAACAAAAAAGAGCAGAGGAGAAAAGUAUUUACUAUAUAUUUAUUGAAUUAUCAGGAAUGAUGGUUAAAUAUGUAUGUAGAGAGCUUGGAGAAAUAAUUUCCUACACUCAUAGUCAAAAGGCUUCCAGUGUUUUCCAGUUGAACUCCCGAGAAUCCCUGCCAACCUGUCCUGGAGAUCACCCGGGCAGUUUUUCUAGGUAGUCUAUGCUGCUGUAGACAUUCACAUUCAGCCUGAUGAGGAGUCAGCACCAAGUAUAUGGGAAGUAGUGAAUGGAUCCCAAAGGAAAAUGCAGCUUUCUGACUUUUUGUGAAAAGAGAACCCUGCUACCCCUGCGGGAUAGUUCCAGUCCUAAGAAAAACGCUAGCUUAGGUUUAUGAAGCUUAUUUUUUGUACUAGGUACUGGAAUAAGGACUUUAUAGGAACAAUCACACUUAAACUUGACAACGUUAGUAGGCAGAUACCAUUAUGCCCAUUCUAAAAGUUCACCUUGACCUCCAGUGCUAAUUAGCAUUUGAGGAUGUAUCAAAGUACUUGGAUUCCGGAGUCUAAGCAAAUAGAUUUUUCUGGGCUUCAGCUGCCAGCUACUCUUAUAAAACAAAAAUAGUAAUAAUAUCCAUCUAUGGGGUACAUUGUGCGGAUUAAAUAAAACAGUACCUUUUAAAUACUUGUAAACAGCAACCAAGAUUUGGUAAGCACUUAAAAAUAUGGACCAUUAUCAUAACCAUAAUAAUUAUUAUUUCUUUUAGCAUGAUUAUUCCUGGGGCGUGGAGGGGGAGGGGCAUCUUCUUGCCAGCUGCUGUAAGAGGUGAUUUGAUUUGAUUUGAUUUUAAAAUAUUUAUUUAUUUUUGAGAGAAAGAGCAGGGGAGAGGUGAAGAGGAAGAGAGAAUCCCAAGCAGGCUUUGUGUUGUCAGCUCUGAGCCCCACUCAGGGCUUGAUCUCACCAACCAUGAGACAUGACCUGAGCCAAAAUCAAGAGUCAAACAUUUAACCAGCUGAACCACCCAGGUGCCCCCCUACCCAGCCCCUUAAGAGGUGAUUUUAAACAGCCGUCCUUCUCACUACUUAAACGUCUCUCCUUAAUUUGAACAUACGACUCCCAGGUUUGAUUAUGGAUACCAGUGUUUUUCCUCACUGAUAUAUUAUUGUACAGAAAAUGAAUUGUUAACCACAUUUGGUAUUAACAAGCCUAAGAAUAUAUAUUUUUCAACACCUUGGUAAAAUAAAGCCCUUUCUGGGAUUGCCUUUUUUUUUUUUUCCUAGCUGAAUUUGAUUUUCUAACACCGUGUAAGCCUCAAGUAUAACUUACAGGACAUUCAUGACAUAAAUGGUGAGGUUGUCAUCUGUAUCCUUUUAAGCUCGACUUCUAUGUAUUACGCAGACAAACCUCACUGUUUGGAGAACCAGCCACUGUUGAAUGGCCUCUGAAAGCAAUCCAGAAUAAGCAAGUUACUGACUUGACUCCAGAAAAGGAGGGGGGACAAAAGAGAAUUGGGGCUACUUCAGGUUUUGUCUUGAUGUGUCCCAUGAGUCCAAUACAAUACAUUUUGUAUUGCUUUGAAAACCAGUUUAGGCAGCUUUUAAACCACACUGAGUUUUCCUCCACUGCCAGCAUGGCGGCGUUAGUAUUGGGAAUUUUCUUUCACCAUUAGCAAAGCUGUUUCAGCUUUUGGGCCUGAAAAUUUUAAGAUCUUAGUUUAACUUUCAAGGUGUUAAUAUAUCCCUAUCAGAAGCAAAGUUACGUUUUUAUAGCGUCCCAUUGCAGGAUGAUUGUUGAAAUAGUGUCUGACACACCGCUUCCUCCAAAUAGCUCUCAGCGAAGAAAGCCAACUUUGUUACUUUUGAAAGAAAUGAGUUAGUAAAAAAUGUAAACAUUACAAAAAAUGAAAAGAGCAUAUGAACAAAUAAUCUGUUCUAUUUUCCCCUGAUUGAAGAUGCUGCCUGCCACAAGCCAAAGUGUGUGGUUGAAAAAGUUCCAUCAAACACAUUGUUUGGUCUCAUAAAAAUUAAAUGUGUCCCCUUUCCUUAAACAGAACUCCGUAAUCUUGGCUGCUGUGCAGAAUCCUCAGUGAAAUCGUUCACAAAUUCAUAGUAUUUCUGUCUUGAGAAAUUCUUCCUACCCGCAAGCCUGAAUAUGCUUUCUCUCUCUCCCUUUCUCUUUUUCUCUCUCUUUUCUUUUGGCUGAACAUCUGAACUCCUCCAAGAGUUCCCUGAGUCCUAGAAUUACAGAUAAAUGCUUUCUAACCCUUGUGUCCCUGCCACUCUCCCCACAGCUUGUUGACAUUUGUGAGGGUAGCAGGCCAUGCCUUGUGACUUUUUUUGCAUCUCCACCCACUUCUUUUGAUGAGUCAGUACAACCAUGCAAUUGACAGGUUAGAGGAAACCUACUAUGUGCCAGGUGUAUCUGCCUACAUUAGCUCUGCUGCUCUGUGCUGGCAGAAUUCGUCUCACAUACAGAGACUUUGAGUUCACACAGCUAGCAAGUGCAGAAUCCAGCACUUCGACCUAGACCGCUCUAAGUCCAAAACCAUUUUUUUCUUUUUCUUUUUUUAAAUUUUUAAUGUUUUUAUUCAUUUUUUAAAUUUUUUUUUCUUUUUUUUUUUUCAACGUUUUUAUUUAUUUUUGGGACAGAGAGAGACAGAGCAUGAACGGGGGAGGGGCAGAGAGAGAGGGAGACACAGAACCGGAAACAGGCUCCAGGCUCCGAGCCAUCAGCCCAGAGCCCGACGCGGGGCUCGAACUCACAGACUGCGAGAUCGUGACCUGGCUGAAGUCGGACGCUUAACCGACUGCGCCACCCAGGCGCCCCUGUUUUUAUUCAUUUUUGAGAGAGAGAGAGCAUGAGCGAGGGAGGGGCAGAGAGAGACAGAGACACAGAAUCUGAAGCAGGCUCCAGACUCUGAGCUGUCAGCACAGAACCUGACACAGGGCUCGAACUCGUGAACCAUGAGAUCAAGACCUGAGCCUAAGUGGGCUGCUUAACCGAGCCACCUUGGCACCCCUUUUCCUUUUGUUUUUAAAUAACCAUACCUUCUCCAGUGGCAGUGGAAACUCAGUCACAGGAGGAAGCAUUCUGGGAGGCAUCCCCCACGUUUUCUGCCUUGUCCCUCUACUUUGUUCCUACCUCCUUUCCCACUCACCACUAGGACUACAAAGCAGCUGAAAGACAGAUGCUCUUCUGGAAAACUGUGGCAUUUGGCCAUCUUGUAUUUAUGGAACUCGGGAAAGACUACAUUUCAUUGUACUCACACAAUGACUGUAUGGAAGACUUUAUUGAAUGUACCUAUGAAAUAAUGGAAAUGGUAUGGAUUUGGGGUUUGCACUGAGAAUAUACAGCAGAUAAUGAUUCUUCUGCAUUCCUACAUUAAUUAAUUCAAAUCAUUAGGAAAAUGGACCCAACAUUAGCUUUCUUUGUGGUUCUUUCUUUGUGGGGUAACAAUUUCUCACAGGCUUCCUGGUUGUUAACUUUCUCCAAACCAUUGAUUUGGUAAUUUGCAUAUUUCCCCCCCCCCAAAAAAAAGGCAGCUGUAUGUUCUGAGCAUCCUCUUCCUGGCUGAAUCGAAGGCAGUAUGAGAGACUGGAUGUCUGCCGACCGAGUUCCUCUAGAAUUCUGCCUUCUGUGUUUAAGUCACUGCCGCCACCAGAGAAUAUUUAAUACCAAGCUCAAAAUAAGUGUUUAGGAGGCUUUCAGUGGUGGUUUAAAAUAAUUACCAUGAGAACUUGGGUAAAAGCCUUUAUCCACAAAACUAUUUAAAUUAUAUAAUUAUAUCCCCUACCUCACUCUUCCUUCCUUUCUCUGGAUUUGUUUCUCUUUGCUGCGUGCCCAUACCCCAACACUGAACCGUAGCCUCAGACCCAGAUUCGACACUUCUCUGCCUCUCUCUCUCUAACAUACCCCAAGUGAGACUAGAUGCCUCAUAAGGAGUUAUUUGCCUGAUGGAACCGAUCAUAAUCCCACAUCCCAAACCUCUGCCCAGGGGCCAAGAGCAAUUUAUCCAGCGCCACAAUGUCCUCUUCUUACCUUCCAUUUUGUGACCCCUAACCUUUCUGAUGACGUGACCCUGCUGGGAGAUCGGACUGUUUCCUCAGUUACAGUGUUUUAUAUGUAUUCCCACCGUGGAAAACCCGUACCUGUGUAUCAGCAAAGCAUGGGAAUUUUUUGUGUGUCUCUUUCCCCUCUUCAUUAUAUUUAGCAAUAUGUAUUGAUUAAAUGCAUUCCCUUGGCUGCUUUCCACUAAGCGGUUUUGGAGGACCUCUUUGACCAUAUGUUUUUAAUGAUUUCACCUUCUGUCUGCCCUUAUCCACUUUGGAAAAAUGACUCUACAUUAGUUUGGUUCUAUACAAAUACGUUUUUUAGGGUUAUGUUCUCAUAUAGUCUGGGAGUUUAAAAGCACCAAAGCUUUUUAGUCAAAAACUAUGUCCAAGAAUGCUGGUGAUUCUACUGGAAUAAAUACUAAAUGAACCAAUUAUAUAUAAAUGUAGUUUCUCUGUACUCUCAGGCAUACAUUCUUUACAACUUACUGCUGCCAGCAGUAGCCAGUGGAAUAGUGGAUAUAUGUGUUAUACAGGCGUAUAUGGAAGGUCCAGUGUUCCACUGAAUCAAUAACACAUUGUCGAAAAAUAAGUAACACCCAGUGGUUUAUCCAUGUUGCUAUUAUGGGAGUCAUAACUCACUCUUUAAGAACUUGCUAACAUUGUCCAUACUUGAUAUGGUCAUAAUGUAUUAUUAAGAAUGUUCUUGGAAUGUUCUGUUAAUUUGUAAUUUGAGGGUGUGAACAUUUGGAAAGUGUAAAAGUAGAGAAAGAAUGAAAUGUUAUUUGACCAUAAAUUUGUAAAUACCUCAUGGCUUAAAUGAUGAUGAGGUGAGGCCACAAACCACAAAAACAGCUAAUAAAGUAUGUGUUAGUUUAAGAUUCUUAUAUAUAUAUUCUCUUAUUUGACAUUUUAAAUUAACUUCUAAUAGGUUUUAAAAGGUAGACCUUUAGCAAGUUAAAGUAAGGUUUUUUUCACCCCCCCCAGGAAAUAUUUAUUUUUCUGCUAUUAAAAAACAAAACAUAUCUAUAAAGUUAUGGUGUUAUAUCUUAAGAACAUGCCAGCAAAGCAAGGCCUCUGUGGGUUUUUUUUUUCCUUUUACAAAAAAUAUAUAUAUUUAUUGGGGGGGGGGGGAAUGAGAGGGGGAGGGGUAAGAGUGAGAAUCCAAAGCAGGUUCCACGCUAUCAGUGCAGAGCCCAAUGGAGGGCUCAGUCUCAUGAACCAUGAGAUCAUGAUGGGAGCCAAAAUCAAGAGUUAGACGCUUAACCAACUGAGCCACCCAGGCGCCCCAGCCUGUGUGUUUUCUUUAUCAUUAGCUAUUUUAAACCUAGUAUUUAUGAAGCUCAUUUGCAUGUUUAAUGCUAUUGCAUGUAACUUUACAUAUAUAUAAUUUUGCAUUCUUUAUGGGAGCUUAAAGUCUAACAUGUAUAUUGAUGUGGGCAUCUAUACACACACACACAGAAAAACACCAAGUCAGUUUAUAACUUUCAAGUUAUUUUCCACUCAAGAGUUCUAUCAGAUUGGGACAAAUUAAUUUGUUAAAGAAAAACAAUCUAGUUUAGUUAUAUAAAUAGUCAUCUUCCGGGGCACCUGGGUGGCUCAGUCAGUUAAGCGGCCAACUUCAGCUCAGGUCAUGAUCUCGCGGUCUGUGAGUUCGAACCCCGCGUCAGGCUCUGUGCUGACAGCUCAGAGCCUGGAGCCUGUUUCAGAUUCUGUGUCUCCCUCUCUCUCUGACCCUCCCCCGUUCAUGCUCUGUCUGUCUCUGUCUCAAAAAUAAAUAAAUGUUCAAAAAUAAAUAAAUAAAUAAAUAAAUAGUCAUCAUCCUACCUUAUAGCAAGAGCCAUAUGCUGUAUGUGAAGAUGUGAUGCUAACUUUUCUAGAGUUGAGGGCAAGACAGAUUUCCAGAUACUUUUCAUGUGGCAGAAGUGGCUGGUAGAGUUGAAUGUUAAGUGGAUUGAAAUAAAUUGCCAGUGGAAAAUUUCAAAAGGAAACUUACAAUUCUCCUCAUGAUACUAAUUGUGUUGUACUAAUAUUGUACAGUAUUUGACACUUUGAGAAUCCUUCUUUAUCAGAUGUUGGUACCUCCAUUAAACCUAAUGUCAGAGGAAGGGAAAGAACUAGUCUUUUUGGAUGUCAGCUAUGAGCCAAGCACUGGGUUGGGUGCUUGACUCACAAUUAAAGGAGCUAUUUUGUCCCUACCAUAACCCUACAAAACAGAUAUUAACCCAAUCUCAUGAAUGAGAAAAGUUUGAUUCCAAGAAGCAAAGUAACCUACGAAUAAAGAUAUCCAUAAAGGGCAGAACAGUGACAUUCUGAUACCAUAUUAUUGCCCUCUAGCUUCUGGAAUGUUAGUUCUUUACAACGUGGCUUCAUGAUCUUGCUUCAGAUGUGAUCAGUGCCCAGAAGUAUCUUGUGAACCCUCAUGGCCACCCUUGACUUUCUGACAAAAAGAGUCCGCUUUUUUAUAGCUGUGCAUUUGCACAUUGUAUACUGAUGCCUGCUUUCUCUGCAUCAGUUGGUGACUUUGCACAUCAGCUGACAAGUUUACAGUGGCCCAGCUUCCAGCAAAUUAUCUUGUUUUAGCAGAGUCGCCAUCCUUGUUCAGCAAGAUCCCUGCAGGUGUUUUCCUGUAGCGUUGGGUUGCAUUUUGCCCUUUUUAUGGGAAGCAAGUGAAAACAGAAACCUGUGGUGUUUCCACUAAACCAAGAAGUACAAGCUUCAUAAACUUCAGUCCAUCUGACAAGGGUGAGAGUUGUGUGUCUCCCAAGUGUGAUUCAUCAUUAGCCCCAAUCGUAUGCUUAUUUCACUUAACCGGUGAUGAACUCAUGAAGGAAAAGAAUAAAUCCAAGAACAAUGAAAUACAUUGUUAAAUACUGUGUCUGAAAGUCAACGUGUAAUUCAGAAUGUUGAUAUAUCAUUUUUUCCUUUCUGGGAAUAGAAUUCUCCUUAAAACAUAAGUUUAUCAUUUGACCUGCACAUACUUUAACAGAUUCCCAGGAAGAAAUAUAAAUGCCAAGUGUCUGUAGUCACCCAAACACCAACAUAUACUUUGUGAUAAAUAAAUAUACCUCUUUCCUUUAGCUUUUGCCAUUCUGGCUUGGCCUUGCUGAUGAUACCCUCUGGGAUGUAGGUGAGUGAUGAAACAUCACUUAUUGUCCCUGUAAGUAACCGUGGCCCUGGUGCACAGUGUGGAAGUCACCACCAUGAGGUCUGGCAUAUUGGAAUAUUUAUCUGUAAUCUUUACCUCAUCUCUGCUAGUGAGAUUUGGCCAACGAGUCUUCUAGUCAAAGGCUAAAGGCUUUUAUUUUCCUUUCCUUAGGGGUAUUUCCACAUUCUCUAUGAGGGUGUUCCUUGGAUAUAUUCCUAAGUAAGACUGUCUAUGUAUAAACCUCUGAAAAGAAUCAGGAAAAAAAACCAAAGACUAGAAAAAUGGCUGAAAAGAGCCAUUUUAUGCAGUUGCUUUCUACAACAUUACAUUUUAGGCCAUCAAAAACAGUUCUUAGGUGGCCUAGCAUGUUCUUUGCACAUCUGGCCUCUGGGUUCUUUAGACUGUUCCAAGCAGAGUUUUUGCCAAAAUGGAAGUGACAUCUUGCAUGCUAUGAUACUUUCCAAACAAAUCAGGGCUUUCAAUUUGUUUCACUGUAAAAUUGUGUCAGAUUUCAUUGUCUAGGCUCCCCUAUGUGGUUUUUAUCAAGGAGUUCCUUGGUAAAGGUCAUGUACAAGCACUGAAAAAGAUUGCCAUAAAGCUACAAGUCUCUGAUUUCUUAAAGUUUGUUGUUUUAUUUUGUUUUAUUUUGUUUUAUUUUAUUUUGUUUUGUUUUGUUUUGUUUUAUUGCAGGGUUUUAUAUGAACAUGUUACCUAUUUUUCCAGGCUAUCCCCUAAAGAUUGAAACAAAACUCCGUGAAAGCCUUCUGGUCAGAGUUAUCUUUAUUAGGAAUUCUACUGGCCUAAUUAUCUGCCAAACAUUUUUCUUUCUUUUUCUUUUCUAAGCAUAUUUCUUAGAAAGCAAAUAAAUAUUGUUUAUUUGGCCCACUGUUGCAUAACCUUGCUUGAUCAUGAAAUAGCUAGUCUAGGUGUUUAUUAUUUGUAUUAGACAAUUUAUAUUCUAUGAGACAGAAAGAGAUGUUAGAUCAUCACUACCACCUUGUUCUCCAUUUCCUCUAUAAGAAGAUAAGCACUUUGGGGCACCUGGGUGGCUCAGUCAGUUGAGCUUCUGACUUUGGCUCAGGUCAUGCUCUCACGGUUUAUAAGUUCAAGCCCCAUGUUGGGCUCUGUGCUGACCGCUGAGAGCCUGGAGCCUGCUUCAGAUUCUGCAUCUCCCCCUCGCUCUCUGCCCCUCCCCUGCUCACACCUCUGUCUCUUUCUGUCUCUCAGUAAUAAAUAAAAAGUUAAAAAAAAAUUACAAAAAAGUAAAAUCUUAAAAAAAAUAUCCAAGACAUUCUUGGAGUUUUAUAAAACACAGGAGUUGUAUACUCAACAAAAGCAAUCUUCAAAAUAGUCACACAAAAAAUAUUGUGACUUCCCACAAGGUAUUCUGCAAUCAUUAAUAAUUUGGUUAUUCUUUCAUUACAAAGCCUUUAUUUCUUUGUCAGAGGCCUCAGUCCCAAAAGGAAGAAGAGAUAAAUGACUAUACAUCGCGCUGUGUUGUAGAAGUAUAAACAAGUAUGUGGACAAUCCAAAAGAUAGUAGCACCCCUGUCACCUGGAGGAUUCAGGAGCAAUAGAGCCAUGGUCGUUUAUUCACUGUUUUUAGUUUGCAGUCCUAAAGGGAGAAAAACAGUGACAAUGGAGAGAAGGAAGAUGCAAGAGAAAAGUGGAGGGACCAGAGGCGAGAAAAAUUCAUUUCUUCCCCUGCCUCAAAAAUUAGCGAGAAAAAAGUAAAGGGAAGUUUUGAGGUUGAGGAAGGAAAGUUGAGGGAAUUCUUCCUGGUACAAACGUUCUCAGUAAAGCAGAUAGAUGUUGGCUGACGUGACGAGGGCCGAAUUUGGAAUCUUGGGAGAAGACAGGGUCUGGAGUAGCCUGUGGGAAAAUGGAAUCCAGUGGGCAUGGAUGAAAGCAUGGAUCAGUGGUAAUGAGCACCCAUGCAAGAGGAGAGAGCUGGAAUAGAGCCUGUCCUCGUAGUGAGGUGGUUUUUCCCUUCCAUGUUGUCAAGACUAAGAACCGAGGAGAGUGUUGGUUGUGGCCUAAACUGUGAAUUGGCGAGGCAGGAAAGCGUGGCAGGAGGUCCAGUGGCUAAGAGCUUCUAAAGAGCUCUUGGCUGUGUGCAGGGCUUAGGGGAGGGGGAGCUGAGCUGAAGGAUUGACUGGAGUGUCCAUAUGGGUAAGGGACACUUACCCAUAUGGGUAAGGGAAAGCACACAAAUCCUACUUUCCCUCCCUCACCAGUAUGGCUGCCGAGUAAGGUACCUGGACCCUUGCCUUGCCCCUCGCCUAUCUGUGUCCCCAAAUUGCCUUUACUUCACACCAGCCAUGGUUAUGGCAACACACACUCCUUUUCUUUCAGCCCACAAAUAAGACUGUGUAGACUAAGGAGAUAUUACAGAGCUUUCAUUUUGUUCUACUCUGUGGUCCUUUAUCCUUUUUCUGAUUUAGCUUCUCAUUUAUAUAUUUUCACUUUCACAUGUCACUAAGUUUAAAUGUUUAAACAUUUCCCCCUCCAGUAGCCAAAAAGAAAACAAAGCAACAGCUAAUAUACUAAUAAAUUUAUUUCUAGCUACAGGAGAUAAGCUUCAAUGCAAUGUGGUCAUAAAGUAUGGCUCCCAGGCUUAGGGGAGAAGCAAUAAACUUUCAUAAAUAAAAUAAUUUUAAAAUACUCCUGGCAGUAUAAAUAAGAGUAAAAUAUAACAUGUAACAGCCAACAACAGAGCUCCUUACAAAAGAAAGCUAUAAACUAAAAUAAGGAAAUGUUUGCAGCUUUUUGUUGUCGCCCUGCACUCUAGGUGGGCCGCCUGGAGAAUUCACAGUGGGAAGUUUUGGACUCACCUUCUGAAAUGUUGCCCCUAUUACAUGUCCUGACACCUUUUGAUUUGCUGAAGAUCUGUGAUAAUCACCAAGGAAACCCAUUGGGUACUAAUGCUACAAAUAAGACCGUUCUCAACACAUUUCAAGGUGUCAGAGAACACUUUUCAAAAGGAGAGAGAGUAGGAGGAUGCACCGGACCGCGUCCCAUGGCUUCAGUUAAUGCGGGAGCUUACAAGGCUCAGGCUCACUUGACUUUCAGUCUUGCUCUACCGCUGAUCUUUAAGGAAAUGUGGAGUUCUCCUGGGCUCUACGUCAGCUUUCAUUUGGGUUUUCAGCCCAGGAGUCACAUGGGCAAAAGCAUAAAAACUACAAUGGCAUUUUAGUGAUCAGUGCCUUGGUUUGAAAGACUGUUGAAGUGAUGGAUUGUUCUCUAAAAAAUUAAGGAGCAAGCAAGACAAGAUCUCCCUCCCUCCCUCUCUUCCUCUCUCUGUUUCUCUCUCUCUGUUUCUCUCUCUCUCUCUCUCUCUCUCUCUCUCUCUCUCUCACGCACGCAUGCAUGCAUGCAUGCACACGCUCACUCACUCUCAAAUCAGAAGUGAUAAAAGACAGGGAAUUGAAGAGCUGCCAGUAGAAUGAAAUCAGAAUUUAUCAGUGCUUUCAUUCAAUACAUUGGCAAUUCCCAACCAUUUGUAAUCAUGGGCAAUAUGUUUGCUGCUGAGAAAUGGGUUAAACGUACUCUCUCCCUUCAAGGAACUGAAGACUUUGCUGGCCUAGAGUGAGUUACACUUGGUCACAUGGGCCGAGUCUGGGAGGGCUUAGUGGAUAAACUUGGUUUAGAAGGUGAUAGACUAACCUCUGAAGGGAAGGGCAUUCCAAAGAUGGCAUGAAGGGGUCAAGACUGUGAAGGGAAAUAUGAAUGAAAAUUAGUUGGGCCUAGAUUUCAGAGAGUCUUCAAUGCCGAUGUAAGAGUUUGGACUUUAUCAUGUAAACAGUAGGAAGCCAUAGAAAAAUUUCAGAGCAAGAGAUGUGGUUUGUGUUUUACAUUUGUUUUAUAAAGAGAAAUCUCUGUUGGCAGUAAAGACGAGAUGAGAGACAGAUGAUGAGAGCUCUAGGGAAACAACAGAGGGAAUGAUGUGGGCAUUCCAUUUAUAAGUUGCUAUGCCUGGUACUGUCUCAAGUUGGGGUGGGGUUUUUUUAAUUCUUUUUUUUACUAUUUAUUUAUUUACUUAUUUAUUUAUUUUUGCUGGAUUAUAUGGAGAAAGGCAAGCUAGCACAGAACUUUUUUAAUUCUGAGUUUGAUUUCACCCAUUAGUAGCCAAGUGUUCAUGGGCAAGGAAGUUAAAUUCUGUCUCCUGUUUCUCAUCUGCAGAAUGCGGGUAGCAAUGAUGCCUUCUGCAUAGGGUUAUAACAAGUAUUUACUAAAUGUAUACAUAUGCAUAGCCCUUAGAACCUUGUAUGUGCUAUGUGCUAAGUAUUUUAUUUUUAUCUUUUUUCUCAGUUCAUUCAUUCAAACAGCUACUUCCCCUGGAUGUGAAGUAUAAACAACAUUUUUGUAGAGAAUGCUGCUGCAUGGUGGUCCUUAGUGUCACUGUAGAUCAUGAGGAACAGGGGAGACGUUAAGUGAAGUUCCAGUAUUGGGAAAUUUGGGCAGGCUUACUUUACGGCACAAUGUGGUUAUAUUAUUCUGAUAAACAGAUUUUGAAAUCCCAGAACACAGUGUGAACUACAUUCAAAUAUGAAUGCAGAAACACCUUCAGAAAUCUCCAAUAAACAUUUUAAUUCCCUAUGUCUUUACUUCCCUGUUUGUGAGUGCAACUGAAAAAACAGUGCCACAUUCUUAAAUUGGAACAAUAAUUAUGUCCCAUGAAUGCAAUAAAAAUUAUAAGUACUUUUAUUAAAGGUAGACUUUAUUUUAUAUAUAUAUGUAUAUAUGUAUACAUAAUAAUAUAUAUGUAUACAUAUACGUAUAUAUGUGUAUACAUAUACGUAUGUAUGUGUAUACAUACAUAUAUACAUAUAUGUAUAUAUAUACAUAAUAAGUACAAAUAUAUAUAUACAUAUAUAUUUAUUGUAUUUAUUAUAUAAAUAACUGCAGGCUAGCAUUCUGAACAACUCCAGUAGUAGAGGAAUUGUUCCUUAUGUUUCCUUGUGCAGAGCCAGUGUUCUGUUUCUUCUCAGUGUUCGGACUCCUGUAAAACAGAAAGCCGGCCCCAUUAGGUUAUAGGAAGAGUCUAUAGGAUUUGGGGCGGCGGGGGCAGGAAAGCUAAAUAUCUUGAAACUUUCUGCCUUUGAAGAGCUGAGAAAGCAGUUCUUGACGAGGGAGAUAAAUACAACCCCUCUGUAUAGUUGAGGUGAACAAAGCUUUCCUUGAUACUAAAGGUUUUUAAUACUCUUUAUUGAUGGGAGGGGUUCUUUUAUUUGAUCCAUCAAGAUUACCAAGCCACAUGUCCCCAUCCCUAACUGAAAUACGGCAUCAUGAAAUCAUGAUUAAAGUUGUAGAAACCAAUUUGUGAAGUGGCAAGAGAUGACAGAUACUGCAUUUCCCCUCUUGGUUACUGGGAAUUAAGUUUCAGUAGCAUUGAGGAAUUCUGAAAAAAUAACUGUAAGUUAUUUAAAUUAUAUUCUUCAACUUUUCCCUUGGAUUCAUGGCUAAGCAGUUUUGACUAGUUCAUAAAUUAGGACAGUGUUGUUGUUUUGUAAUAAGAUAAUUUAGUGAAAAUAUUUUUGCAGGACUGUGAUUUGUGUGGCUAGAAUAAUGAGCAAAGAUUGCAGAGGAAUCAGUGAUUUGUAAUCCCAACCCUGGUAGGCACAGAUGUGUGACUUUAAUGGAGUAAUUUAUUUUUUCUGAUAACAUUUGUCCAAUCUCCUUUGAGGAGCUUUUGUGAGAAUAAAAUGAGUGGAGUUAUGUGAAAGCAAUUUAAAACAGAAAAGCACUAAAAAUAACUAAAUGUAGUUGCUGAACAUCCUGAAGGCAUCUUAGUAGAACAAAUGGGAGUAAAACGUUGAGAGUGUUUGUUUGAUUUUCCAGGCAACAAGGGAAACUCUCAGUCGCCACUGCACUACCCUUGGUGAUGCUCUUCGAAAAGAGAAUGAUUUUGCUCUUAUAAUUGAUGGGAAAACCCUCAAGUAUGCCUUAACUUUUGGAGUAAGACAGUAUUUCCUGGACUUGGCUUUGUCAUGCAAAGCUGUUAUUUGCUGCAGGUAAGUUCUCCUUAAUAUUGUCACAUUUCAGUAAAGAGCACCUUGCUCCUAAGUUCUUGAUUUUUGAACUUCCAGAUUCUAUCCAGAAUUUGUAAAUGUCAGGUUAUUUGUUAUUUCACUCACUCAAGACUGAAGGUUUACAACCUGGAAUAGAAUUUAGUAGCAAAGUCUUAGUGAUCAUUAGUAAUUAUUUUUCAUAAUUUGAAUCAACAAGUUUAUUGCCAUCUCCUGUGUUCAAAAUCAGUUAUUUACCUACAUUUCCAUGUUUGGUAAUUACUGUAAAUGUUCUCUUUUCUACACAUCAAUCUUAGAUCCUGCUUCAAGGACUUAACUUUAGGAAAUGGCAGGAUGGGAGGUGCUUGGUCAUUUUCCUCAAGACUGUUUCUUGACUGUACAUUCCUCUUUCCUGUAAUUUAUGAUAUUUCCCAUUUCCUAAAUUAGAAUCUGUUUUGAGUUAUCAAGGCUUGAAUCCAUAGAACUACAUUUUUGUAAACUAUUCACUCCAGUCCUUCCCAAACUUCCUGUCAAAAAAAUCUUCCCCAUAUCUCUGUCUUCAUUGUUCCCCUAUAUCCUAAAAUUUAAAGUGUAUUGAUGGGACACCUGGUGGCUCAGUCGGCUAAGUGUCUGCCUUUGGCUCAGUUCAUGAUCUUGUGGCUCUUGAGUUUGAGCCCCGCAUCAGGCUCUGUGCUGACAGCGCAGAACCUGCUUGAGAUUCUCUCUCUCCUCUCUCCUCCCUCCUUUCUCUGCUCCUACCCUGCUUGUGCUCUCUCUCUCUCUCAAAAUAAAUAAACCUUAAAAAUUUUAAAUAAGGAAGGAAGGAAGGAAGGAAGGAAGGAAGGAAGGAAGGAAGGAAGGAAGGAAGGAAAAGAAAAAGAAAGAAAGAAAGAAAGAAAGAAAGAAAGAAAGAAAGAAAAAGAAAGAAAGAGAGAGAGAGAAAGAAUAUUCAUGGGACAGCUGGAUGGCUCAGUUGGUUAAGUAUCCAACUGUUGAUUUUGGCUCAGGUCAUGAUCCCAGAAUCAUGGGAUGGAGCCCCACGUUGGGCUCCAUGCUAAGCAUGAAGCCUGCUUAAGAUUCUAUUUAUCUCUCCUUCUGCCCCUCUCCCCCAUUCACCCUUUCCCUCUCUCUAAAAUAAAAAAUAAUUAAAUAAUUUUUUUUUUUUUUAAUAAAUAAGGGGCACCUGGGUGGCUCAGUCAGUUAAGCGUCUGACUCUUGGCUUCGGCUCAGGUCAUGUUCUCAUAGUUCACGAGUGCAAGCCCCGAGUCGGGUUCUGCACCAAUAGCAUGGAACCUACUUGGGAGUCUGUCUCUCUUCCUCUCUCUUUCUCUGAUCCUCCCCCACUUGUGUUCUCUCUCUCUCUCUCCCUCUCUCUCAAAUAAAUAUUUUAAAAUUAAUUAAUUAAUUAAUUUAAUGUAUUCAUGACUAUGCCCAGUGUCUUCACCGUGGAACCCAGGGAUUUUCCUCUUUGCCGUCCACUUACUGAGUCUUACCAGCUGGUCACACCAGGUCCAGGUGGCAGUGUCUCCAGUGUUUCUCCUCCUGGGAGAUGAAAUCUUAGCAAGGCUUCUGAAGAAUUUCUCAGAAUUUGUUCUUUUAACAUUACCUUUAAAUGUUUUCUAUUUCCUUUUAUUAUUAUUUUAAAGUAUAUAUUUACUGAUAAAAGAAGGUUAUGCUUUUUAAACCUUUUUUGUCUGGGCUUAUUCUCUUAAAUAUCCUGCCUAUAAUCUGCCUCCACAUUUAUAAGCCAUGCCUUGUAGAUAUUUCCGAAAUUUCAGCUGGAACCUAUUUUGUGAAACAUAUUUAAACCUAACUUAAUAAAUACCUUUUAUAAAGCAUCAUUUUCAACCUAUGAAAUUAUACUCAGAGAAUUAAAAGUGCUUAUUCCAGGAAUCGUAUUACUUUAGUCAUUUAUUUUUCUUCACUGUGGUAUGUAUUGAUAAAUGUUGCUGUAAAACAGCUCUUGGAUAGCAUGUUGUACAUACUUAAUAUUAGUAAUAUUCAGGCUUUCUGGUUAAUCACGAAGAAAGAAUUAGAGAUUAAUUUAUCUUGAUGGUCUCAUUUGCACUUUGCUAUCACCAUCCUUUUUAAAAAUCUGCUUUUUCCAGUGACCUUUCUUGAUUCCUUGCUAAUCUCUUGACCAAGUCUUAGUAGUGUUCAACUCUGACACCCUUCCAUCAGGAUAAUUGUGUGCCAGAUCUAGUUGUUAAUCACUUUCACUAAUGGGAUCACAAGGAUCAACAAAAGAUUGCUCAAAAGCACAUUAAGUGAUAUGACUGUUGGCUCCUGCUUGAAAACAAAACAGAAUACAGAGCUCUUUAGAUUCAGUGAUCGGUUCCCUUGGUCUGGCCCUACUGUAUGCUGAGCAGAUGGGCCGCACCUACAAGGAUGAAUAAGACUUCCUGCCUGCUCUCCUUCAUGUAUCCUUUUUUUUUUUCCUUUUAAGUAGAAUCACAGUUGCUUUGAAAGUUGUGGUAGGCCAGUUCUCAUAAUGCAGUCCCUGCAGCUGAUCUCAUUCUUAGAGCAUUGCUUAACACAGUACCUCCCACCAUUCUUCCAAAAGUUGAACCACAAAAUUAAACAAUAGCAGAGGGAGAGAAACACUAGAAAGCGGAGUCAAGGGAGAAAAAAUAUGUUGUGAGCUUGUGAAAUUCUCUCCCGAGAUCCUUGUUCUGGAUGGCUCACAAGUCACAUGGAUCUCAGGGCUCCUCUGGGCCCAGGUCCCUGGGAGGGAAUCACACUCUGCCAUGCACGUGCAACUCAGCUCUGAAACUGAGCUUAUAAAGAUGUGUGUGGCCCCUUCCUCCCUCCGUCCUGUUUUAUGCAUGUUUGAGGACCUGAAGGUCCCUAUGCAGACACUGGGUUUUAUUUAGAGUUUUUAGGGCUUUUUUUUUUUUUUUUUUAAGUAAAAUAUCUUUCCUCAGCUUUUUCUUCUGAGUGCCUUCAUACUCGCUCUUUUCCCCUAAGGACUGUGGUUCAGCUUCCAGUCUGGUGUUGAGAAUUCAUCAGUGCCACUGCUGUAGUUAUGUCUGUUCACCUUCUUGGCCGCCUAGUGCCUCCUGGCAUUUUAUCCAGUGGCGCAGACCGUAUUCCUCUCAUUCAGCUUACUAACCUUGAAGUACAAUUUCCAUGAUACGCUUUUGUCACUUGUGAGGAAUAGGUGGGCAAUUCUGUAGAUCUUUCUUUACCAUUAAAUGCAAGUGGCACUCCAGGUUCCCAGAAGAUGACAAUCUCCCAGCCUCAGGAAAUUCUCUAUUUUCUGCUAUUAGAACAUAUACUCCAGACAGAUACUGAAUAUUAUUUCAAAAUACAGUACUGUUUCACAAAUUUGUUUGUGUUCAUUCUGGCUUUAUGGGUUUCUCCCCGCCCAACUAUUUUCUGAUAUUCUUUUUUUUGGUCAGUCCUCACGUGAAAAUCAUCCAGAGUCUGCUCUGGGCCACAGCUAGAAUGGAAGUGGAGAGGAAAGCCUUCCCGUAAUGGAUAAUGAGGCUCUCAAUAUUAGUUCCAUCUUCAGGAUUACAUCAGCCACUUUCUUCCCUGACAUUAUCAGCAGAGAGGGCAGAAGGCAGUUUUCGGUGUUUGCCUAAUUGACACAGUUAUAAAGAUGAGCGUUUUUCCUGAAAAGCCUACAGUUGAAUUGAAAGAAACAGUUGUUCUCAGUCAGUAGUCAUUAUAUCUCUCACUCACUGCCAUUUUCUGAAGGGACUAUUCAGAGACAGAAAUAAUCCCCUCGUUCCAAAAUUAUUCAGGGCUUUGGAGUCCUGGUUUUGGUUUACAAAGGGAAGGUUUCAUGUUAUACUUCAAGUAAUUUUUUUAAGUAUGUAAAACCCAAGAAGUAAAAUGAAAUCUGUUUUUAUCUGCCCAACAUGUCCUGUAUUUUUAUAGAUACCAUGCGGGUUUUUUUUACCUCUGUGUACACUUACCUGUAUAACCUGAAUAGUUUAAUAGGAAACAUGCAUCUAACGUUAGAGGAGUUUCUGAUCAGUUUUCCUGGUUAUAAACAUAAACUCCUUGUGGUCCUUCUUUCCUUCUUUUCCCUUGCUCAAAUGCACCAAUUCCAUCAUUUGGUGGGAUCAGAUGUUUGAAGAACAUGAAAACUCUGCAUCAUUUUCAACACCCCUCGCCCCCCACCACUCCCGCAAAAUACACAUAUACACAAAUAUGUAAAAUUGAAUUCACCAUUUUAGGGGCUUCACAGACUCCCUAAAACUCUUACACAGGUAGGAGAGGGAAAGGCUUGCUCCAAGACUUGUGGAGAUUUCUGUGCCCAGCGAAAAUCAAGACCUAUUCUGCAACGUUACUGUACCAGAUAAAUAAUUCCUCAUCUCAGUUACCAACAUUUUAUGCCCUAAGUUCUUAGAGCUUGCAUAAUUGGUACAUAUAAUGGCAUUUUAUCUGAGGAUUCAUAAAAUUCUUGUUCUAAUUUUACCUCUCUGGCACUUUGGCUGCCUAAUGGAAUUUCUCUGGCUUUGGUUUUGUGACCUGUAAAAAGAAGAGCUUGGCACAUAGCAAUGAUUCAAAUCCUACACAGAGCCUGGAGGUCUAAGCAGCAGAGAGUAGAGCUUCUCUGACAUAGAGCUGUGGGAGAGCCAUGCACAUACACGCCUUCCUCAGUUAUUUCCUUCCAGCUUGAAAGCCGCUGGGCCAGAGGACCUCUCCUGGCCCUUUCACUUUCUGGACAAACCCUUCUGUGGGCCACUCUAUGCUGGGACGGGUCUGUCUACCGCUUGGAUCAGCUUAAUUUGUGGAAGCAUCUGUUCUACCUCUUUCAAUAUUCCCUCCAGAAGAGGGUGGGAAUGUUGCAGGGAAGUAUUGCUGUGUGUUAAAUAGCAUGUGGUUUCUGAGAUCCUCAUCAGUUCACAUAACCCAGCCUUUCAAAGAAUUUUACAUUUUUUCUGUAGUUGUCAGUUUAGCUUAAACGUAUUUUGAAACUUAUGUUCUGUGACAGUUGGUUGAAAAUUGGCCUAGAGCCUCCAGCUUUUAGACUGUCUAGUAAUCACCGUUCUUCUACAUAAUUUAUGUACUUAUGUCUUCUGAAAAGCAGAAGUUAAAUUGAAGUAAGCAUUUUUCCCGACUUGCAACAUCUCUAAUCAAAGUUUAACCCCCUUUUGGGCCAUUUUCCCCAUAGUGCAUUAAAAAAAAAAACACUUCAGUGAGAGUCGUCACUCAGGAGUGGCAUUCCAGGCAAAACCUUUCACCCUGGUCUGAUCAACCGGUCCUCCUAGAAGAGGUCUAAAGGGACCCUUUGAAUACUCUGUGUCAUAGCAUGACUGCAUUAAGCAAAGGGUCAAGACAGAUCUACUUCUUGAAUCUUUUGGGAUUGUCUUAAACUUGAAGGAUUUCCCUAAAUAAAUGUUUUGCACUUAAAGGGUAGUCAUAAAGCACAAAUGAAGCUAAUAAAUGCUCAACAGACAUUCCUUUAAAGAAAAAAGUUUGUGAACACCAUUGGAUGCCAAGCAGAUGUUUGGCUUUGAGAAGACUUACAAACUGUUAAUGAAUGUCAACCCCGUGUUUGCUUCCAAGAAAAUAUGAAUAAAUGUUGGAAAUGCUGAGAGAAUAUUUCUUUCAUACAUGUAUGGCUAAAAGAGGACAUGCUGAAUAAGUUUUAUAACUUCAUAAAAUGCCCAUGUUUUGCUUUAACAUCAUAUAAUAAGCUGUUCAGCCCUGUCUGUCUCAUUUGCUACUCUACCUCUCCUGAGUAAUGUUAAAUAAUAAGGCCACGGUACCGUCUGGUAGCCACUUAUGUUAUACAGUUCCCCACCAGGGAAGUCCAUAUUUGACAGUAAAAUAUUAAUAAAUCUCAACACUUCAGAAUUCCACUACAAUUCAACAUUAUAUAGUUUUAGAUAUGAUCAGUUUAGAUAAACCACCAUCACCCAACAGCCGCACGUGCACACGCACACACACACAGACACCGAUUAGAACUGCAGAUCAUAUAACUCCAGUAAAACAGAGUUAACUUGUACUGGAAAGUAUAUAAAAUAUAAGCAUGCAACUUAGUGAAUUUUCAUGAAGCAAGUACACUCCUGUAUCAAGUACUCGAGCAUAACCAGCACCUCAGAAGCCCCCGCACGCUCCCCUCCCUGUAGCUUUAUUAUCCUCCCAAGAGUAAGUGCUAUCUUGAUUUCCAUGAUCAUGCUUCUUAAAUGCUAUCUUACUCGUUUCAGUCUUUUUCUGUUUUAUAUCUUGCUAACUUGGAAUAAGUGUACGUAUCUUCCAUAACUACAUUCAAAUUCUUGAUGAUUCUUUUCUGUUCAGCAAUUUUAAGUACAGACUCUGCAGCUUUCCACUGAGGCCUCCCUAAAGCUUUACAUAAAUCAAUAGUCAGCACUCUAAUGUGUCUUCAAAAACAAAUCCACCUAAUAGAUUAUGUACAGUUCUCUUUCAGUUCUAUGGUGAUAGAAUAAAGGGCUUCAUUUUCCGAUUUGUUAAGGACAUGGUAUAUGGAAACUACAAUAUUUCUUCAAUCUGUCUACUGACCUGAUUUUGUGGGGGAAAGGAAAGCAGAGUUACUUUGGUGUAACUGGUUCUCCUUGAACCCAUAGGGUUUCUAGUGAUCACCUUCUUUCUAAUAAACCCAUGUGAGCCAUCCCCAUUUAGAGCAAGUUAGAGGCUUGGCAUUUUGAGCCAGGCUAGGGCUUCAAGAGUCAAGACCAGGUAGGAUGUAAGCCAUGAGUGUUGAACAGCUGUAGGGCAUGGAGUAAAGAGAAGGAAAAGAGCACAUCCUAGAGGAAAAUGAUCUUGCAAAACAAGAGGCAUAUUACCAAGGAAGCAGACGGAGAGACGAGAAAUGGAUAUAAUAAGCUUUUAAGUUAAGGCAUGAAUGAGGAGGUGGUUCCAGAUAGUAUUUUCCAAGAGGAAGGGAGUAUUUCAUAGAGCAAAGUGGGCAAACGUUUUCUGUAAAGGGCCAGAUAGUAAGUAUUUUAGGCUUUCUGGGCUAUACAGUCUAUGUCACAGCUACUCAACUCUGCCACGAUAGCGUGAAAGCAGCUCUGGACAAAAUAUAAAUGAAGGGGGUGACUGUGAUCCAAUAAAUCUUUAUGUAAAAAGCAGGCUACUGCCCAGAUUUGGCCCUGGGGUUAUAGUCUAUUGACCCCUGCAUGGUGUCUGUGGCUCGUGAAUGAAUGAUAAGCGGGAGACAUUCUGACAGAACAUCCAUGAGGUUCACUCCAACCUCCCUAGGCUGUAAUUUCCAGCUUUCUUUUCUGGAAAACUGAGACAUUUGCCAGUCUCUCUCCACCUGCCUGUUUCCCUUUCUCCAUGAUUCCUCAAAAAUGACUGACAUUCUUUCCGUAGUGACAGCUAUACAGCCACUCUAGAGGGUCCAUUAAAUUUCUCUGUGUCCUGGGAUUCAAGAAAAACCGUUAAAAUGUGGAAUUUCCAGAAUUCAAUUUGUUUUUGAAUGAAGUGUCAAUAGAUAUUUAUGUGUCUCAGUAGGAGAUAGAUGAGGAACUAGGACCACAGAUAUCAGAUCCUGCUCUGUCACCGAAAUGCCUCCCCUCUGUUCUAGGGGGAUGUGCCAGCAAGAUGCAAAAGGACAAUUCCAGCCACGGGACCAGGCGGGAAGGGGCACAAGCUAGCCUUCCCCUUAAGCUGGAAGUGGUCCAAAGCCAAAGUAAAGCAAAUUCUUGUUUGAUUUUUAUGCAUUAUUUUAGCUUCUGCCCUACAUGCCACUUCCUCUGCACUCCACCUUAGGAAAACAUUCUUAACUAUUUAACAUGUUCCCUUCCAAAUGCCACACUUUAUUUGUAUAUGUGUGCCACUGUGAAAAAUACAUAAUAUGGUUAUAUGUGUGUUGAAAUGAGAGAUCUAUAUUUAUAAUACUCCAGCACAAAUUUGUUGCCUCUUUAAUUUUUCUACAUUUGGGAGACUAUCCAUGUUACCAGAUGGAAAGCAAGUUUAUUUCUUCUCACCAGUACUCAUUGUUAUCUAAUGCAUCAUAAUAAUAUACAUCAUUUUAUUUAUGCUCAUAGCAAUGGCCAUAUAAGUUGCCUCUAAACCUUUGCUACCCUGGAAAGUGCUAAAGGGAAUAUCCUCUCUACAUAACCAUGCCAAGUGUUUUUUUAAUAUAUACUUAAGAAUGGAAGUGUGUGGCUGUGGCUAUAUCUAUAUUUUGUUUCAAUCAGAAUUGCCGCAUUGCUCCAAAGCAGCUCUACUCAGAGUGUGCAUUCCCAGCUUUAUGUGAGAAGGUUGCUGUUUCUGCACCUUAACAUCAAUGCUGGGCGUCCCUGAAUUUAUAACUUUGUCAAUUUGAUGGUUGAAAAGCACCUUGUUGUUUUCACUUCUCUGAUUACUAGGGAGAUUAAGCAUCUCUUAAUAUAAAGAGAGACAGAGUGUGAGUGGGGGAGGGGCAGAGAGAGAGGGAGACACAGAAUCUGAAACAGGCUCCAGGCUCUGAGCUGUCAGCACAAAGCCCAGCAUGGGGCUCGAACCCACGAACCGCGAGAUCAUGACCUGAGCCAAAGUCAGACGCUUAACUGACUGAGCCAUCCAGGCACCCCUAGCAUCUCUUAAUAUAACUACUUACCUCUCUAGAUUUCUGCUUUUGAAGUUCAUUCAUUCAUUCAUUCAUUCAGCAAAUAUUUUUUGAGCACUCGCUAUGUUUGCUAUGUAUAAGUUCUAUAAAUAAAGCAGUGAACAAGAGGAAAAUCCCUGCCUUCACAUUGUAGCUGUUGUUCAAUAAAAUCAUUACACAUAUAUAUUCAAAGGUAAUAAUUACUGUGUAUGAUUGUGUGUAUAAAUGGUCAUAGUUGUUUUAUUAUAUAUCAGAUAGAUUUAUAUGAAAUCCUUGGUAAUAGUUGCUAUAAAGAAAAGCAGCACGCUGAAGAAGAAUAGGGGUACUGAACUGUCGGCUGGGGUUUUUUAUGGCCUAAUUGAAUAUUUCUGGUGAGAAAUCAUACGUAAGGUUUCUUUCUGGAGCGCCUGGUUGGCUCAGUUGGUUGAGUGUCCAACUUCAGCUCUGGUCAUGAUCUCACAGUUCAUGGGUUUGAGCCCCGCUUCAGGCUCUGUGCUGACAGCUUAGAGCCUGGAACCUGCUUUGGAUUCUGUGUCUCCCUCUCUCUUUGCCCCUCCCCCACUCACAUUUUCUCUCUCUCUCUCUCUCUCUCUCUCUCUCUCUCUCUCUCUCUCUCCCUUUCUCUCUCUCUCUCUGUCUCUCAAAAAUAAACAUUUAAAAAAAAAAGAUUCCUCUCUGACCAUCAUUGCCUUUUCUGUGCCUUAAAUUCUGUUUUAUGUUACAUUAAUAAUGCUAACCUGGCUUUCCUUUGUUUUAUAUAUGCUUUGUCUUUUUUUUUUUCUUCUAAACCAUUAUGUUCAAUCCUUCUGUAUAAUAUAGUGGUUAAGAAUACUGUCUCUAAGUCCACAUUGCUUAAGGUUCAAUCAUGGCUUCACCACUUACUUGCUCUUUUUCCUUAAAUUAUAUAAUGUUUCUGUGCCUCAGUGUCUUCAUUUGUAAAAUGACAAUAAUAGUAACCUCUUAUAGGGUUCUUCUGAGAAUUGAAUGAAUUAAAACAAGUAAAGUUAGAACAUAGUGAGCAAAUAAGUGUUAUUAUUACCUGUUAUUAUAAAGCGUGUCUCUUUUAGACACCAUAUUGCUGAAUUUGUUUUUUGUUUUAAUAUAACCUGAGAAUCUCUUUCAGUCAGUGAAUUUAACCUAUUUAUAUUUAUUAUAAUUAUUACUAUGUCGGCCUCAUUUCUUUUGUCUUAUUAUUUUUUUAAUGUUUAUUGAUUUUGAGAGAGCAGGGGAGCAGAGAGAGAGAGAGAGAGAGAGAGAGAGAGAAUCUAAAGCAGGCUCCAGGCUCCAAGCUGUCAGCACAGAGCCCAAUGCAUAGUUCGAACUCCCAGACCAUGAGAUCAUGACCUGAGCUGAAGUUGGACACUUAGCCAACUGAGCCUCUAUAACUGCUUGUUCUGCUUAUAACUGCUAUAACUGCUUGUUCUGGUUUCAUGUUUUCAGUAUUUUCCCAAAUUCUUCCAAGGUUUUGUUGUUUUUUUAAUCAUACUUUUUCAAAAUUCUUAUAUCUUUUUAUACCAGUUCUAUUUCCUUAUAAGCCAUUAUAAGGCUUUUUUUUUUCUUUUGUGCUCAUGAUAUCCUGUUUUACCUGUGAGAUUUUUUCCCCCAUUUUCCCUAACAGCAGCAAAGUCCUUUGGGAGAAAGAUGAAAGCUACAUCCUAACUUGCGGUAAAAUUGGAGACAGGGCUCCAUCUGAGCUUAGUGAAUCCCUGUCCCCUGCCCCUCAUUCCUUUACCCAAGUGUUGCUUUUCUUAGAGGCAGCCACGUUUUGGUGAGAUUACCUGCACAAGGUAACACUGAAGGCCUUGUUAACACACCCACAUCAUUGGCACCUGUCCUUGCCUGGCUCCAUGCCCUGAGGUUGACCAAAUGAUUCCAACUUUCCUGUCCCAAGGUAGGAAAUGGGAAUUUUCCUGGGGUCUUAGUUUUAGGGUAUUGUGGAUACUCCCAAGAAUUGGGGUGUCUUUCAACAUGUUAUUUGGGGGAGUUUGAGUUUCUACAAGCUCUAAGCCUAAGCCAAAGUGUUUAUAGUGAGAGAGGAACCCCUUUGCUCCAUGCAGCCCACUCUCACCUCCCUGACGCUGGUCAGCCUGGGCUUCCAUGGGGACACCACAGGGGAUGAACAGUGCAUCUGAAAAGCUUUCCCUGCCUGUUUGUGUAUUUAUGGCCCUGGAACACCACUCUUUCCCUCUACCCAUUUACCUUCUGACAGGUAUCCAGCACUUCGUCUUUCUCCAAAGGCUUCUCAUCGAUUUUUGCUGAUUGUGACCCUCAAAUUUACCGAGCUUCUUUAGCUCCUGGCAUCUUCAGGAUUUUAUUUCAAUUUCGGGCAGUAGCCAACACUACCACUUGUUUCAUCUUCUACGAGAUAUUUAUAAGAUGAGAGAUAAUUCUUUGGUGAAACCCAUCCACAUAGUACAGAAUUGCUAAGAAUGAGGGAGGGAAGGAAGAAAGGAAAGGCAAGCUGAUUUUCUUACAGCCUAAGGAAGUUCCAACCCUUUCUUACCUACUCAGAGUCACAAGAAAAGAGAAGAGAGCAAGUGCCCAUAUAGGCUCCAACCAGGAAGAGAUGGAUGGAGGCCAUAGCUCUUACCACUCUGAGAGCAAGGUCGCAAAAGAGCAGAACCUGAAGGAGAAGCACUCUUGGCCUUCUGGAGUAGACAUGCUUCCCACUUGGACCACACCACUCCUAUAGGCAAGGCUCCCUAGACAGAAAGAGGUAGCUGGACCUUGUCCCAUGCAGGAGAGAUUUCUGUCUCUAGCACUUUUUGUCUCCUUGGAGCAAGAAUUCAUAGACCACUGUCCUAUGUAAAGGCUCAUAAUAUUUAACUCCUGGUACAGUAGGUCAGGUCAGUGAAAGUUCUUAAAUUAAUAACGGGCAGAAGGAUGGCGCUAAGAAGAAGGCUCUUCUCCUUCUCUUAAUAUUCUUCCAUAUAGGGGCGCCUGGGUGGCUCAGUCGGUUAAGUGUCCGACUUCAGCUCAGGUCAUGAUCUCGCGGUCUGUGAGUUAGAGCCCCGCGUCGCGCUCUGUGCUGACAGCUCAGAGCCUGGAGCCUGUUUCAGAUUCUGUGUCUCCCUCUCUCUCUGACCCUCCCCCAUUCAUGCUCUGUCUCUCUCUGUCUCAAAAAUAAAUAAACGUUAAAAAAAUAAAAAAAUAAAAUAAAAUAUUCUUCCAUAUAAAUUUCACCACAUACCAAAGGAUCACUUAAAUACUUAAUAAGCGAGUGAUGCCUGAACGCACAUCCCCAGCUCUGAGUUUUUUUCCAAGCUUAGUUCUGACUUUUCAGUCAGUAUAGUUAAUGAUGCCACUAGGAUAUCCCAAUGCUCUCUAAACUUCCAAGUGUCUAUAACUUCCUGAGACCUUUCCUCUAUACAUAUUCCUGCCUUUUCUGUUGAUGUUUAGGCCAUCAUUUUCUUAGUCACUCACAUUUGAAACCUCAGGGUCAUCUCUGAUCCCACUUCCAUUCAAACCCCACACCCAAGCCAUAUGUCCUUUCUUUUCAUUUUCUUUUCAAUUCAGAUACAUAUGUAGAGAGAGAUGUAGGUAUCCACAUAUAUAAAAAAGAUACAUUUUGGGGGCAAUCCAAAUUAAUAUUUUUAAUGCACUGCUUCUACCAUGCUCUUUUUUGGCUCAAAAUCUUUUUAAUUAACACCUCCUAUUGCUUAGAGCUAGUAGCUGUGAUAUUCAAACUUUCUUAUCCUGACAUGCAGAGGCCCCCUGUCUUCUGGCUCUAAGCCAUUCGGACUAUACCCACUUUCCCUUGAAAAGGUGGUAUGUUUCCUUCUCCACCUAAUAAUUUUCCAUCUGUUUUUCCUAUCCAUGUGAGAAAGCCUGGAGAAUGCAAUAUCCUUUAUGUACUUCCUCUGCAUUCUAGAUACAGAGCAGAUUAAACAGACUUUGCCUCCUGACAGCAAACAGUAAAUUAAAAAAAUUUAAAAAAAAAAUGAGUGAGAGUUGUAGUGUUAGUAUAAUGAGAUAAUGAGAUGAAUUUCUUGUUUUUGCAAAAUUGCCAUUUAUUCAGUUCUACUAGCACUUUACAUUUGCUCUGGGCUGAGCCUAGAGCUGGGUUCCAGAUACUAGAUGAUGAAAGAAAAGAGAAGAGAAGGAAGGAAGNNNNNNNNNNNNNNNNNNNNNNNNNNNNNNNNNNNNNNNNNNNNNNNNNAAACAGACUUUGUCUCCUGACAGCAAACAGUAAAUUAAAAAAAUUUAAAAAAAAAUGAGUGAGAGUUGUAGUGUUAGUAUAAUGAGAUGAGAUGAAUUUCUUGUUUUUGCAAAAUUGCCAUUUAUUCAGUUCUACUAGCACUUUACAUUUGCUCUGGGCUGAGCCUAGAGCUGGGUUCCAGAUACUAGAUGAUGAAAGAAAAGAGAAGAGAAGGAAGGAAGGGGAAGGAAGAGACAGGGAGAGAGAGAGAGAGAGAAAGAGAAAAAAGAGAGAGAGAGAGAGAGAAAGAAAAAGAGAAAGAAAGAAAGAAAGAAAGAAAGAAAGAAAGAAAGAGAGAAAGAAAAAGAAAGGGGGAGGGAGGGAGAAAAAGAGAAAGGAAAGAAAGCAGGAAAGAAAGAAAAUGAACAGUAGCAUUGUAGACAAACUAUUCUCUGGUGUUGAUACUAUAAUAAAGAUUUCUAUCAGGAAUUUUUUUCCUUUUGGGGUAUUUAUAAGGUACAUUUGCCAGUUAGUAGUUUGGAGUGUCUGUGAACACACACACAUAAAUGCGUAUUCAAAUAUACACUAUCAAUACAAUCAGUCCCUAUUUAAAAUAUUAUCAGAACCAUUGAAACUGGAGACAGGAGUAGUUCAUCUAUAACAACCAUGAUUAUGGGGGGAAAAAAUGUUUGCAUCUAAAAUGCAUUGCAGAAGGACAUCUUAUUUAAAAUUACUUUCCCUUUUUGCCCUGUGAAAAGGCUAUCUGCAUUUUAUUUCUGUAGACUCAAUCCCUGUAUUAUAAGGUCCCCUUGUUGCCUCUGACUGCACAGUAUAUCAACAGAUGUUGCUUUUGGAGGCUAGGAAAGCACUCACUCAUCAGUCAUUUGAAUAACACAGUUCUCUUACCUAGAAGUAGUUGAAUGUUUCAUUAUGUACCAUAUGCUAAGUAUAGUUUUGAAGAUGCUAUAUACGUGGCUGUUUUCAUUCCAGUAAUCGAUGUGUUUGUAGAAGUGUUCUAAUAUUUAUGUAAUUUUGGUACAUGUAACAGAUUUUUUUUUUUUGGCCAAAUUUUAAUUCCUCUUCAAUUCAAAACUUUACAAAUGAGCCUAACAAAUUUUAGUUCAGAGUCAAGAUCUCAAAAGUUUUUCUCUUAGGUUUUUUUUUCUCUUUUUAUAUUUUUUUUAUUAGCAGAAUAUGACUCAAUGGGGAAUAAAUAGACUGAUAGUCACAAGGAGAAAUCUUCAGAAGUGUUGGAAAAUACAGCAGAACCCCCUACUAAUGAUCCUGACCUCUAAAUAGUCACCAGGAGCACUUCUCAAGCUUAGUAAAUACAGGGGCUCUAUAAGCACAGGGUCACUAUAAAAACACUUCAGGAAAAUUAAGAAAUACUCUCUUCCUCCUUGUUCUUAAAACGUUUCUCUAGAUUCACCUUCUAAUAGCAACUUUAUAGUAACUUUUAAGUUUUCAGUAUGUUUUUGAGAUACAUUAUCCAUAUUAUUUCUAGUGUAUAUAUAAGAUGUUUUUUAGGUUAGUAACCUAAAAACAUAAUACAGUAAGAUAAAUUAUUAUACUCCUUUUGGCUACCUAUAAAAAGUCCCCUAAAAUAUUCUGUCUUUAUCCGUAUUCCAUUCAAAAAGGCAGUUCAUUUAGCUAAUCCCAUUAAAAGAGUGCAAAAUGAGGCUCAUUAAAGAUGUGCUCUCUAUAUACCUGCAGCUUAAGUGGUAAAAAUUGUCAGUACACUGAUCUAAUGUCCACUGGACAAUGAGAGUUACUACAUAGCAAAUAAGAAAAAUACUGAACGGCAUGUGCAGAAACUAUAGCCAAAAUAAUAUCUGAAGAGCUAUUACACUCAGUGUGCUGCUAGUUUGUAUUGCAAAAGACCACCUUCUGUUUGUGGAGCCACAGGAAGAAAACUGUAUCUUUAGAGCACAUACUUGAUUAGUCUUUGUCCACAGAGCCUCUGGCUUCUCCCAAAGAAGAAAAGAGCAACAAUGGAGGAGAAGAGAACUGUGUAUAAUUGAAGUCCUAACGCAGACCCAUGCGUGGUUUUAAAAAAAAUCUAGAGUAGAAAACAGUGCUUUUAUAAUGUUUCUGAAUUAUACAUUGGGUCACUACUGGUGUUUGUAACAUUCAGUUUUUAGUUACUCUCAAACAUGGAUCUCUAGUUUUUUGAUAGACAUUUGGGAAAAUUAGCAUGUAGUAACAUUGUUCUAGACUAUUCUGGAAAUUGUACAUAUAUAGAAGCAUGUUUAUGAAAGUCAAGAAAAUAAAUAAAUUCUAAUGCUUGACUUCAGUUAGUGACUUCUUAUAAGAUAGGACAAUGGUAGAAGGAAUAUGUUCUAGAUGAUUUCGAACAGUGAAGAAGUUUAGUAUAUGCUAUUUGCUGGGUUGUUUUUUUUUUUUUUUUUUUUUUUUGACCUGACAAUAAGCUCUCCUCUCCUUGUCAAAGCCAAGUCAUAUUCUAACUCAUCAAGGAAGCCCCUUUCAAGCAAUUCUGAUUUCCACGUCCUCUGAAGUUAUGAAGUACUGGCAAUUAUAUCAAAAAGCUUUAUGCUACACUUUUUAAUGUCAUCUAAGUUUGUUGUGCUAUCUUGUAACUGCCUUGUACCAAGGAACAGUUUUUAAAAUGGAUGCUGUAGGGGCACCUGGGUGACUCAGUCAAGUUAGCGUCCACCUUCACCCCAGGUCAUGAUCUCGUGGUCCAUGAGUUCAAGCCCCACGUCAGGCUCUGUGCUGGCAGCUCGGAGCCUGGAGCCUGCUUCAGAUUCUGUGUGUGUCUCUCUCUGCCCCUCCCUGCUUAUGCUCUGUCUCUCUCAGUCUCUCAAAAAUAAAUAAACAUUAAAAAAAAAAUUUUUUAGUGGAUGCUGUAAAAACAGUAGAGCUUUUUAACUGAUUUCAGCUCGACUAACCUGAAUCCUCUUGAACCACCUUGUCUCCCUAAGAGAUGCCCACAGUGCAUCUAGGCCAGACCUGAAAGGAUGCUUCUCAGGACACAUCUGCACUUUUGCUUCAUGAGAUGACGUGGUGCUUACUAGGAAUCAGUCAAAAUUGUUGCUAGGAAAGCCCGGUAUAAUACUCUAGAGAGACUUUCAGAGUUGCUAAACCAUUUGCUGUAUACUUUAGAGUGGGGAACAGAACAGUGAGCUGGGGUGGAGGCGUCAUUACGUUCUGGUCUCCACUUGAAUGAAACCGGCCGUGGAAUGUGCCUCAUGAGUGAGGUUUGUGCAACAAAAAUAGGCAGAAUUUCAAACAGUAGACCCCUCUGCAAAGUAAGGCUCUUUGCUCUACAUCACAAGCUUGUGGGUUCAUGAGUUAAAUAUUUUAUGUAUGCAUAUUUUAUUUUUUAUGAAUCCCCACUUAGCAACGGCUAUGUCAGACACAUCAGAUAUGAAGGCUUCUGCCGUUUGUUGAAUCUUCUUCCAAGCCCUUGUCUGCUGUUAGCUUGUAAAGGAAACAGAUGCCGCUGCUAGUAAGAGUUACAGUGUAACUUUGGGGACGCCUCUCGCUAUAUCGUCAUCUUUUAAAACACACACACACACACACACACACACACACACACACACAGGCAUUGUUCUUGCCAAGGGGAUUAAUACUCCAUUUUUAACACCUGAGAUAACCACGCUCACGAAGUUGGUGAAAAUCCUCAGCCAAUUUUAAUUUGGGGACAUUGAAAAUUAUAGUGGCAGGCAGAAGAAAUAGUGGUUGGUUGUGAUAGCCAUGAAGAAAGAAAACAAAAUUGAGUCCAGCCCUUUUCUGAUGCCACUUCCAAUCUCUGGUCUUAGCUCCCCAUGCAGAGAUUUCUCUUUUAUGACACAUUCAGCCGAUGAAAACAGAUACCACCUUUUUCUAAUUCCAUCGAUCCCAUGGCGUGACUUCACAGUUAUUUACAUUGUGAUCCUGUUAACUUACAAAGGCAAUUUGAUGAAUGUUUUCAAAUGAUUCUCUCUUUUCAUGUCCAUUUCCCAUUUGCUAUUUAGAUCAUUUCUUGGUGAGCAUGCUUUUUGACAUUUACUACAUGUUAGCUGUAGUCCAUGUUUAAACCAUUGGCCUACAGCCAGUGGGCUUACCAGUUUAUAUUAGUCUGUUAAGAAAAAUUAAAUGAAAUGUGAAAAUGAACGGAAAAUUACCUCAAAGAAAAAUGGGGGCUAACUGUGAAAAAGCCCAUAAUGGCUGGUACUCACCCAUUCCCUUGCAGUGUUCACAGUUGGGCCAUUUUGUGCUAUUGCCAGACUCUGAAAGGAAAUCCAAAGAAAGAAUUAAAAAGAAUUAUUUCAUGUAGCAGCCGUUUAUUGAGUACCUAUUUUGGAUCAAAGAUGAGGAGGCUGGUUCACUCUGCAAGUAACUCACAGCCUAAUAUAAUGAUUCUCAAACUUUAAAUAAAAUCUGGGGCUGCUCUGAUGGAAAACUUUUCAGAAAGGCAGUAGGGCCACUUGAAGGUACAUAUCUGUGCGGAGUAUCCACUGCUGGGAAUUGUUCCUAAGGAAAUUUAUAAUAAUCAGGAAAAUUAUAAGGUAGCAUCUUUCAGAGUAGGGUCUUCAUUUUUAAAUAGAAUAAUAAAUGAUUUUCCAGAUGUUCCAGCAGAUAGGUAUUAGAUACCUACUCCACUUCACCUUGAUAAAGAAUUUACCUCUGAUCACUAACAUUGUGUGUGUUAGUUGUUUCUUCAUACUUAAUUACUGUCUUCAUGCUUUUUGGACUCAGUUCACUGUUUAGUUUUCCUCUUUGUUUUUAAUUGCCAAUAAUUGUGGAUGAUAUAGGAAUUACACUGAGGCAUUCUGUCUUUGGACCCUUCUGUCAUUGCCAUGGGGUUUAUUUCUUAAGUGGCUCUUUUAUUUUUAAGUAAUCUCUCCACCCAACGUGGGACUCGAACUCACAACCGUGAGAUCAAGAGUCUCACACUCCAUCAGCUGAGUCAGCCAGGCACCCCCUUAAAUGGCUUUUAAAAAUCUGUGAUAAAUUGAUCCAAAGUUAACACCAAAUAUGAUUUUAGUAUAGAUGCUGGUGUAUUCUGUUCCCGACCCCCGUCUGUAUAAACGGUUGCUUGUGGUGCCUGGGUAGUUCAGUCAGCGUUUGACUCUUGAUUUCAGCUGAGGUCAUGAUUUCACAGUUUGUGAGUUCGAGCCCUGCAUCAGGCUCCAUGCUGACAGUGCGGAGCCUGCUUGGGAUUCUCUCUCUCCUUCUCUCUCUGCCCCUCCCCUGCAUGCUGUCUCUCUCCUCUAAAUAAAUGAGAAAGAAGGAAAGAAGAGAAAGAAAAGAAAGAAAAGAAAGAAAGAAAGAAAAGAAAGAAAGAAAGAAAAAGAGAAAGAGAAGGAAAGAGGAGGGGAAGGGAAAGGAAAGGAAGGGAGAGAGNNNNNNNNNNNNNNNNNNNNNNNNNNNNNNNNNNNNNNNNNNNNNNNNNNNNNNNNNNNNNGAGAGAGGAAGGAAGGAAGGAAGGAAGGAAGGAAGGAAGAAAAGGUUGCUUGAUUCUUCUUGGCCGCUAGUAUCUUUGGAAGAAAAUUGAGGCAUAUGAACUAUGUAAUCAGGCAUUUGGUGUUUAUUGUGGUUGAUUGAUUCAUCAUGGUGUAUGAGAACAGAUCAAGAGGUUAGCCAGUUCCCCACUGCUCCUUGGAGUUUGAAGUUGUGCAUAGUACAUUAUCUAACAUCUGCUUACAGAGGCUCAAAACUUUUAUUUCCAAGGUACAGUAUAGGAUUUAGUUAGUGUAACAUUUAGACUACCAUCCAGCAGCUGUCCUGACCUUUCUCAUUCAAAUGUGAAGAAUUUGAAAUUCUGAUGUUGCUUAUUAGGAAGCGGUGGAAUUUCUAAAUUCAAAUGUGAUUUCGUUAACAAAUUAAUGCACCCAUUCCGGUGAAGUAGUGUUUAACGGGGCCCUGCAGCUCCUACCUUUCACCUACAGGCCUGCUUCUUAGACUCUCUUUUUCCCUUAGAGUGGCAACCAGGGUAACAGAACUGAGCAUCUGCAAACCAAAGACUUUUACACAAUGGUACUUCAUAGAACUAUCCCUUUGGAUCUUCCGCUGCUUUUAUCCUUCAAGACCGUAACACUUCAAAACUCCUUUUCUCAGAAAGCAGAGCUAAUUGAUACUUUGUUCUAAUUGAAGGGUUUCUCCUCUUCAA